rnacentral:lncRNA from 1 species
GGGGGGAAAAAAAACACAAGUAGCAGCACCUAAUCCAAACAUUAGCCUCGUUAAAGUGAAGAACAAGACAAAAACAAAGGCUAUUCAAUCAAACAUGAAAGACCAUUGAAUUGUAAUUCUACUCACUUGGAUUUAUGUUAGUUCUAAAGUAAAAUAUUGUAUUUAGUUGAAUAAUUAGCGUAGAUUUCAUGAAUUGCAUCUUAUUUACGUUUUAUAUUCUUUUUACUUAUUUUUAGUUAAAUUAUUUCAAACUAUAUAUAUAUAAAUAAGUGUUUUGACUUGAAUUAGGUCUAAUUUGAAAUGAGAAGCGAGUUCCAAUACAAGUGGAAGCAAGAAGGUUGAAAAAAAGGGAGAAAAAUAUGUAGUAGAAGCAACGUGUGUUGGAGCAUGCUGUUGGUGCAAACAGAGGCAACACCAUGUCUGUACAAGCCCAAAUUGCCCGGGCCCAAACAAAAAGCAUGCAAUUUCAGUUUUUUAAUAGCAGGCCUGAACUCGUCUAAGGCCCAACAAAUAAGUGGCCCAAUAACAACACAGACAUCAGCCCAAAAUUAAAAAAGAACCCUAAGUGAAGAACCCCAAGCAGCCACCAGUAGCCUCCAGCGCCGCUAGUAGGACUCCAAUCGGCGCACGUCUCGGAGCCAGUCUCUUCCCCACACCGUGCUCUCCGCACAUACCUGCAAACACGGAUUCAAAAGAGUUCGAGUGAGAAGAAAUAGUAGUACUUCUAUUCGAUUUCUUGGGCUAUAUAAAGCCAAAUCUAUUAUGUAAAAAGGAUGGAAAAAAAGAUACAGAGAAAUACAAGAAGAAAAAAGAUUGAAAAAUACAAAGAUUUCUUUUGAAGGUGAAUCGAGUUUCGGACCUUUUUUAUUUUUUAGUUUUUUUAUUUAUUUUCUGCUUUUGUUAAAGAAAUAUAUUCAAAAAGGGCUUACCUUCGAAGCUUUGCCGAUGAAACCCCUGCUCGCCGCGUCCAAAUCGGAAGUCUGGCGGAGGCUUGAGGCUUGAGGCAGUCGCGUGUUGCGACGGUGGCGCGAUGACGCUAGAGUACCAAACCCUAGCAGAGCAAAAAGGGGUUCUCUCCUUUUCUUUAUUUUUUUUCUCUUUAGUCGGUUUCAAAUGGUUUUGAAAGAUAAAAAUUUGGUUUUAAAUAUCAAUCAAAACGGCGCCGUUUAGGUGGCCAUGACCCGCGCGGUGACCCGACCCGGAGGGGAGGAUCCGCGCGUUGUGACGUCAGAGGGGAUAUUUGCGGGUCCGGUCCUUCCUCCUUUAUUUUAAUUUUAAAUGCUGUAUUUUGCGCGUUUGCAAUUUUGCCACAAAAUUUCGCGCCUGUUUUAAUUUGGUCUACCAACCAGGACUGCAGAUGGCGUUGAAACGGCGCCGUGGAAUAAAUGGGAAUAUUUCCCUUUUGGCCCUCCAUGCUUACGCGCGCAUUCGAAUGGGCCCUUUUUUUUAAAUUUUUUAUUUUAAAUUUGCCCCAUUUCUUUGUUUUUCAACUCAAUUUAAUCCAUUUUUUAAAACUAUUGUAAUUUAUGGUACUACUACUUGUUAUUAUUACUAUUAUUGUAUGAUAUUAUUAAUAUUGUUCAUUAUUUUCAUGUACAUAUACUUAUCGUUUUAAUUUCGGGUUCAUUUUUUACUUUUACAAACGUGUAACCCCUUUUUUUUUACUAGUAUAUAUAUAUUCUUAAGCUUUAAAGAUGCAUGCAUAUGUUUUUGUUCGUUUUACACACAUUUUAUUUUUUAUUUUAUCUUUCUAUCCUUUGUUUUUUGCCUUAUAUUUUAUAUAUAUGUAUUUUUACAUUUUUCUAAAACAUAUACACAUCUGCAUGUUUUAUAUUUUAUUUUAUUCCCACGAUUUUACAUUCAUAUGUAUAUGCAUACAUAUUUUAGUUUUAUAUUCACAUAUUUCAUAUUUUUAUAUAUUCUGCUCCCAUAGUUUUUAUAUGUAUAUAUGUGUAUAUGCCUGUAUUUUCUAAUUCAUAUGCAUUUUUUUUUAUUUUGAAUACAUAUUUGUUGUUUGUUUUAUUGGAUAUAUUCCACUCCUUCUGUUUGCAUGUAUACUGGUAUAUGUGUUAGAUAUAUGUAAACACAUGCUUGCAGCUUUAUUGUUAUAUUGUAUUUGUAUAUAUAUUUGUGAUUAUUGAUGUAGAUAUGCUUUAAAUUAAAGGACCUGAAUCAUAUUGUAUAUUAACUUUUAACAUACUCCUUUGAAAAUAUAUUUUGGUUUUUUAACUGUGCAUCAAAGUUAUUUUCUUGACUUAAAGGUUUUUUUUUUAAUAAAAGUAUUAUUUGAGGUUUGGGAUUUUCGAGGGAAGUUGAGCCCUAACGUAUUGGGUUCUGAUUUUCUUUGUCAAUCCUAGAUGAUCGGGAAUAUUUUUAUUCAAAAUGCAUAAAAAUCAUUUUUGGGAACUUAAUUUGUUGUGCCCUAACGUAUUGGGUGUGGCAUGUUACUUUCUCAAAAUGAACCCUAACGUAUUGGGACUCGAUUUCUGUAUAUGACUUGAACAAUUGGAUAUCCUUUUGCAAAUUUCAUCAUUCAAGCUUAUUUUAAAAUCUUUUUAAACUUUCGACACAUAAGACAUCAAAUAAUCAAUUUGGUACCGAUUUUGGGCGUUACGAGGGUGCUAACCCUUCCUCGUGCGUAACUGACUCCCGGACCUGUUUUUAAAAUUCGCAGACCAGAAUAAUUUUUAAGGUGGACCGGUCACACCUUAAUAAAGGAUCGGUGGCGACUCCAGUUUUUAUUUUUUUUUUAAGGUCGACAACUAAAUUUUUUGUUUUAAAAAAAACGGUUUCGACAAUGUCGUUUUGUUGUUUAUUUACCCUCAAUUUCGUUUUUUCACCCCCCCCAAGGCCAUAAAUAAUCAUUUUUAAGUCUUAAUAGAGAGAGACGAAAGGUGCUUAAUUAGUCUUUAUUAUAUUUUUCUCUUUUAGUUUUUUAUUGAUUUUCUUUCAAAGUAAUUGUAGUUGUUAUGCUAACAUUCAUCGAUACAACACUUGAAUAGAGAUUAGAGCUGCAAUUAUUCAAUAAGAGUUUUUUUUUUUUUUCAAUUACUGUUCUUAGUAUUGAUUUAUUAUUUAUGUUUGUUGAUUUGAUGUUGGUUAUAAACUAACUUCUCAAAUAGUGGUGAAGUAAAUCGGAAAUUAAUGAGUUAUUGAUCAAUAUAACUUAGAAAUAAGUUCAUGUUAAAUUUGUUUUUCAUAAUUAAUGUAAGUGAGAGCUGGAUUAAGGAAUAAUCUAAGAGAAAGUUAAACAUUGAGAGUGUUAGCUUAACCUUAAUGAUUUAGUUGAAUAGUUAGCUAAACCCACUAAGAUAUGCACCAAUUGAAGGAUUUUUCUAUAAGAUAUAAACCAACUUAGGCAGUAGGGGUUGAUGAGAGUGAUGGUUUAAGGUUUAGUUAAUUUAUAUAUGAUAUACACUUAUAAGCUAUAAACCAAUGCAGGUACCUACAUCUUGAUGAUCAUCUCAGUCAUGAGCCUUAGAUUUAUCAAUAACCGAAUUAGAUGAGUAAAUCCCACUAACUAAAGAUAAAAUUUUAUCAUUACGACUUCUUUUCCACUAUAGGUUCAAUUAUUAAAUUAUUUAUUUUAUUAAUUGUUUACUUUUUUAAUAAUUAUAUAUAUUACUUAAAUUUCUAUUAGUUUAAUUAUAUUCUUGUAUUGAUAAUAUAUAUAUUAUUUUAGAAUUGCAAAUCUCUUUGUGGAUUUAAUCUUCAGAAUACUUCCUUCAACGAAAUUAUUUCAUUGUAAUAUAUUACUUAACAAUGAUAGUAUAUACUAGUAGUAGAGGAAGGUGUUAAUAUCUUAUGAGCUUAAUUUUUUAAUUUUAUUAUUAUAUAUUUAUAUGAUUUUCUCGCGUCAAGUUUUUAGCACCAUUGACAAAAACAAAAUCCACAAAUUUCUAGAAUAACAGUACUAAAAGUAAACCAACAUUAGAAUUAGAUGUAUUUAUUUUUUAAAAAUCCUAAGAUAGAGAAAACACUUCUGAACCCUAUGAAACAGAGGAGUAAUUGAAAUCUUAAAAACUUCUAGUUCGAAAACCAUGGCGUUACCACCUGAAAAAUGUUAAUUUGAUUAAUCUACUCAAUAAUAAUAAUAGACCAAACAUACAAAAUUCAGUUUGUAUGAGCAUUAGAGACUAUUCAAUGCCUGAUGCCUAUGGAAUUGAGGGUCGUAUAUAGGUUAGCUGAAAAUACUGAAAAUUUUGAAGUAAAACUUAUCACUCUCACUAUGCUUCAAAAUAAUACUCAAAUUUACGAUCUACCCAAUGAGAAUCUCAAUUUACAUCUAAUAAAUUUCUUAGAUGUUUGUCAUAUUUGCAAGCCCUUAGAAUAGUGGAUGAUUUGAUUAGACUAACUUUAUUUCAGUUAUCUUUUAGGGACAUAGCCAAGUCAUGGUUAAACUCGCCACCGCCAGGAUCCAUCACCACUUGGAAUCAACUAGCAACCUAGUUUUAACUCAAAUACUUUCCGCUGAAAAGAACUGGAAAACUCAGAAACAAUAUCACUACUUUUUGACAUGUGCUCUGAGUGCUUCCAAGGAAAAAAUUAAGUAUAGGAGCAAACCUGGACGCAAUAUAAAGGUUAGAAGUUGAUUUGGAGGUCAAAAAUAAAUUUAAAAAAUAUCAAAGGUACAUGCAUUCCAUAGCACCUCAAAUGGGUGCCACGAUAGCACCUCAAAUGGGUGUCACGACACGCCAAGAAGAAGCAAGGCGCGCCACAGCACCUUGGUAAAGACAAGGGCAUGUCGCGGCAUAUUGUACCCCCUACCAUUCGAUGUUUUCUAAUAUUUUUUUUUGUGAAAAUACUAGUUGCAAGCCGUCCAAACUCAAUAAAAUAAAGGUAUUUUGGUAUUUUAAUGAUUUUUAUUUAAUAUUUGCCCUAGUCUUAACCUCUAUAAAUAUAUAAAAGUUGUUGUAAGUUGCAAGUCGGUGAGAUCACUUUAUUUGCUAGACUUAUUUGUUGAAGAUGUCGACGAACAUUGUUCAAACUCAUUUAUCUUCUAAGAAGAGACCCCGAGCUAAUGUCCCAUAUUUAGAUAUAUGAUUCUGCGGUCGUGUAUUGGGAGAUUGGUAUUUGAAUGCGGUGAUCUGAACAGAGCCUUUACUAUAACAAGGAAUGCGUGUGUGUGAUAGGUUGUUUAAGGCCAUUGACAAGCUGAAUGGGAAGGUUUAUGUCAACAACUGAGGCUCAGUGCCUUCAGAGUUGUUCAAGAAUUUUAUACAAAUUGGGAAUCUGGUAUUCAUAUAAAUUUGGUCCGAAGGGUGUUUGUACCUUUCAAUUCAAACAAUUUUAAUGAUAUUACAUUAUUCCUGAACUCUCUGUUGAUGAAUAUUCAGAUGAGUGAUUAGCUUAGCACGACUUCAAUGCUAUUAUUGAUUUUCUAAUAUGGGGAUGGGUUACUUUGAAAAUUAGAAACAGUGAAUGAUAUCUUUACUUUAAAUUGGAAUUCUUAUUUCUUAAUAGGCUUAAGGUGUAAAAAGUUCUGAAAUAUUUUCAGAAAAAGAAAUUAAGUCUGCCUUUUUUCUUUUUACACUUAAUUAGGUUUUUAAACUUUCAAAAUGCAUUAAAAAACCCUCAAACCUUUUUUUUUAAAAGCUAUAUAUUAAGCCUCCACAUUUUUUUUACACUCAAUUGAGUACUUGAACUUUCAAAAUGCAUCAAAAAGGUCUUCAAACUUAAAAAAAAAAAAAAACAAUUAAGCUGCUGCAGCUUUUUAUUUUUUGGCACAUAAUUCGGUAUUUGAACUGUUAAAAUGUAUCAAAAAAGUCAUUUGAUCGUUAACUUUAACAAUUGACUGUUAAAGUUAACCGUCCCUAAUUUUUUCAGUUAAAGCCACCACGUAUCACAAUCAUGACAUGAUAUGUGGCAAAAAAAAUGAUAACAAAUAAAAAUCAAUAAAAGUUAUAAAAAUUAUUAAAUUUUAUUAAAAAUAUAAAAAAUUAUUUAAAUUUUAGUAACAAUUAGAAAAAAUUAUAAAAAUCUUAAAAAAUUAUAGAAUAUAUAGAAAUAAAUAUAAAAAUUAUAAGAAUUCAAGGUAGUUUUAGUUCUCAUAGAGUUCAAUUCCCGUUCUCAACCCAUGACCAAUAUGAACUCGAAGUUUCCUUCGUAACCUCCGGAACAUUUUUUUCUCUCACCCAUUUAUGUUAAACCAUAACUCAUAUCUAUGUUGUAAAAUUAUCCCUUCUGAUUGACUCCCUUUUUGUAGAAAUUUCAUUUGGUUAGUUGUCAAACUAUGUUUCAUCAUUUGUAUUGUUGAAUUUCUUUUGCAAAAAAGAAAUUGUGAUAAAAAAAGAAAAAAAUAUUUAAAAAAAUUAAGGAUUUUUUUUUUAUAAUUGAGCUUGAACCAUUAGUUUUAUAUUGUGUUGAAAAGCUCAUUUUUAUUAUUUAUUUCUUGUUGAUGUGAAUUCUUUUAAUUCAACAAAUGAUUUUUUUCUAGUUUGGUAACUUAUCAACUCGAUUCUCGAUUUUAAUCAAUUUUCCUGACUUUUUCCAUACUCGUAAUCUAAGCCCCAUUACAACCUUAUAAAGACCUAGAUUGGUGUGUCAUCUCAUACUAUAGAGGUGGAGAUUUGAUUUUCAAGUAAGUCUAUGGUAAUAACACUACACCAAAACAGGCUUUUAGCGGCAUUUUUAGUGGCAUUUGGAGAAAAAACGCUGCUAAAAAUCAAGUAUUAGCGGCGCUUUAAAUAAAACGCCGCUAAAGACCGAGCAUUAGCGGCGCUUUCCUAAAAGCGCCGCCAAAAAUGAGCAUUAGUGGCAUUUUUUGGAAAAACGCCGCUAAAAACCUAAGCCCAACGGCAUCGUUUUGGACCUUUCGGGGCUUUUAGCGGCGUUUUUGAAAAAGCGACGCUAAUGCUCGGAGCUUUAGCGGCAUUUUUGACAAAGCGCUGCUAAUGCUCAGGCCUUUAGCGGCGUUUUUGACGAAGCGCCGCUAAUACUCAGGCCUUUAGCGGCGUUUUUGACGAAGCACCGCUAAUGCUCAGGCCUUUAGCGGUGUUUUUGAGAAAGCGCCGCUAAUGCUCAGGCCUUUAGCGGCGUUUUUGAGAAAGCGCCGCUAAUGCUCAGGCCUUUAGCGGCGUUUUUGAAAAAGCACCCCUAAAACAUUUUAUCUGUCUAUUUACUAUUUAAUUUGUUUAUUUAUAUUAAUUAAAAUUCAAUUUAUUUUUAAUAGAAUAUUUUUUAAAAAUGGUUAAAUUUGAAAUAAUGACACGUAGAAAUAAUUUCAAAUAAAAAACAUAGAAAAAUAUUUGUUAAAAAUGGAAAAAUUAAAAUAUUAUUAUUUAAAAUAAUUUAAAAAUUUUUAGGGUACAUGACUGAUUGAUUUUUAAUUUAUAUAUUAAAUAAUUUCAUAUAUAAUUGUAAAAGAUACGAUAGUAUUAAUUUUAAAAUAUUUAAUUAAUUAUCAUUAUAGUUUAGGGUUUAAUAUAUAUGGUUUAGGGUAUAUGGUUAAUUUAGGAUUUAAGGCCGGUUUAGGAUUUACAGUUUUAAGGUUUAUAGAUUAUGGAAUUAGGGAUUCUGGUUUAAGGGUUGUGAUUUAGGGGUUAAGGGUUAGGGGUUAGGGAUUUGGGUUAGGGUUUAGGGUUUAGAUUAAUUAGUAUUUUUUAAUUUAUAUAUUAAAUAAGGUUUAGGGGUUAGUAGUUAGGGGUUAGGGGUUUGGGGUUAGGGGUUGGGGGUUGGGGGUUAGAGGUUAAGAGUUAGUGAUUUAAGGUUUGGAGAUUCGAGGUUGGGUUAGGGUCUAAGAUUUAGAUUAAUUAGUAUUUUUUUAAUUUAUAUAUUAAUUAAGUUCUUAUAUAAUUGUAAAAGAGGGGUUAGGGGUUAGGGGUUUAGGGUUUAUGUUUUAUGAUUUAGGAUCUAGGAGAUAGUUUAAAUUAUUUAAGAGAUAAUAGAUCAAUUUUAUAUAUAUUAAAUGGUUUAGGAUUUAAGGUUUACUUUAGAUUUAUUAAAUGAUAAAAAUUUAUACAAUUAAUUAAUGUUUUUAUAUUUAAAAAUAUUUAAUCUAAAUUUAGAUUAAAUGGUUUAAACCAUUUGAUAUAUUUAAAUAUUAGAUUUAAAAAAAUUGAUAAAUAAAUAUAUUGAGUUUUAAAUUUGAACUAUGAAAUUAUAAUUAUCUUUUAUUUAAUAACAAUUUUCCAUUUAAAUUCAAAUAUGAAAAUUUUUAGUAAUCCUUUUCAAGAGUCGAGUUUAGACAUAAAAAUUGAUCUCGACUCAAUUUGGGUCAAUCCAAAGUAUUAAUUAAGAUUUAAGAUGCUUUUAAGUCAACAAAUUAAAGCUUACAUGUUGAAAUUAAUUAAGGGAAUGUAAACAAGAAAAUUAAUUAAGGGAAUGUAAACAAGAAAAAAGAAUGCUUCAUGUGCAUAUUUGAUAAUUUAAUUAUCUAAGCUUUAGCUUAUAUUAUAAAAAGAAAGUUUGAUGGGUGUAUUUGUUUAACAACAUACAAUAUUAUUGGUCUCCUUGAUUUUGUUUUUUUCUUUUAUUAUUAUUAUUAUUUUGUUUUUUAAAUGUAAAUUUAAUUUAAAUUUUUAUCCAAAUAUUUACAUAUUUAUAUUUCAAUUUAUCUCAUUUUUUAUAUAAUUUAUAAAAAAAGUAGUUUAAUUUCAAUUUUACUUUCUCUCAAAAAAAUUUCAAAUUUGCUUACUUAAUAUAUUAAAAUAUUAAAAUAGUUAUUAUUUAAUAUACAAAAUAAAAAAUUUUAACAGAGCAAAACGGUGUCAUUUUGUUCAAAAUAACAUAAUUUUUUGCGGCAUUUUUGUAAAAACGCCGCAAAAGAUGAGCAAUAGCGGCGUUUUUAUUAAAAACGUCGCAAAAAUCAUUUUAAAAAAAAGGCGCAUUUUAUUUCCAAAUUUCUCCGCCUAAAAUCUCCAAAUUAAAGGAGCUUCGCUACUAAAGCAAAUAAGGUUUUUGAAAUUCCUUUUUGUGCUUUCUCUUUGUCAAAAAAGACUUCUGUUCUGUUCGGUAUUUGCAGGGAAAAAAAAAGAUAAUGUGUUUGGUAAUUUUAGCAGUACUCUUAACAAGUAAGUUAUGGGUUAAGGAUUUAAUUUCAUGAUGAAUUUGUGUGAGUGGGAUCGGGAUUUACUAGAAGUAUUCCUGGGGAAUUUUGCGCUGCUUAUUUAGUUGUUAAUUGGUUCUGUUUCAUUUGUUCUUUGCUCACUCAACCCCAAGGAGAAAAGAACAAAAUCCCUAAACAUAAGCGUUUCUCCUCAACCGUGUAGAUAGCUAAAACCCCUUUCUUUUCAGUUCCCAUUUAAACCCUAAAUUCCUAACAGCAAAAUCUAAGCAACAAAGCAAUGGCAGAGGGGGCAGGAGAAGAAAAAAAGAAAUUUUCAAUCUGGGAUUUGCCAGAUGUGCCAAUGGGUCAACUUCCACCGCAUCUUGAACUCCAACGAAGUCGUGUUUCAUGCAAUAAGGAUGCCCCUAUCCAUGUAUUUCUCUCUUACCCCCUUUUUUUUAUCACCUAAAGCACACAUCUUCAGUUGAAAUUUUUUCAUGAACACCCUUUUAUUCAUAUAUGGAGUGUUAAGAAACAGUGGUUUCUUGGGGUUGUUUAAUUGGGUAAUUAAAAAAAAUGGAGCCUUUUUCCUUAUUUGGGGUUUGGGUUAGUUUCUUUGUAUCAUCUGUCUUGCUCUGUUCUUAAGGUUCUGAAAUUUGUGGGUCUCUUUUUUUGUAUUAUAAUUAAACGUCUUAUGUUUUGGGGGCUUUUGUUUCUUGUAGACUGAGAGUAUUCAAUAUUCUGGCGCUUAUGCAUCGAUGGGAAUUGAUAAUAGUUCACGACUUGACCGAUUCUCUAACAACUUUAGAGUUGAAGUGGUUCGACUCAAUGAAGAUGACAUGGAGUUUGAUAUGAUCGGUAUUGAUGCAGCUAUUGCCAAUUCAUUCAGGAGGAUCCUUAUAGCUGAGGUCUGUGACUUUUUGGUCUACCUCUUUUCAGUGCUAACAUAUGCUAUGUUAAUGACAAUAUUGCAUGCUAUCAUAUGCUAGCUAUGUUAGCUUGCAGCAUAUUGUCUGUGCUGGUGCUGAUAGAACUGAUUAUGCUUGCAGCUUCCUACAAUGGCAAUUGAAAAAGUUCUCAUUGCAAACAACACAUCAAUAAUCCAAGAUGAAGUUCUUGCUCAUAGGUUGGGCUUUGUUCCAAUCCGUGUUGACCCAAGGCUUUUUGAUUAUCUUUCAGAUUUAAUUCAUUUUUUUUGGUUGAUGGUUUAUCUGAAUUUAUGGAGUUUACCCUUAGGGCACUUGGUAAUUCUUUACUUUUGUCUCUUUCAAUUGUAGAAAAUGAUCAACCAAAUUAAAAGAACACCAUUGUUUUCAAACUCCAUGUUCAGUGUAAAAGAGGUAGUCCACGUAUUACAGGUACAGUUUUGGGCUUUAUCAGUGAAACAUGAAACCUUUUUACUUAAAUGAAAUUAAUAGGUCUUCCCUUUAUAGCUUUGCCUUGUUUCUAAUGAUGUAAAAUAGUGCAGUUAAAUCGGAUGCAUUAAAGUGGUUGCCUAAUGGGAGUGAACUGGUUAAGGAAACAAGAAAUGCAACUUCAGAUUCAUCAUCAAAGCCUGAAACAUACACUUACUUCUGUUGAAGUCAAGAGACCAUUCCAGAAUUUGUCAAGAACCCCAUUAUCCCUAAGUAUCCAGAUAUUAUUAUUGCUAAACUUGGCCCCGGACAGGUAUAUUUUACAUGCUUUUGUUUGUUUCAAAAAUUACUCAUAAAGCAUGUCAAGAUGGCAGAUCAUGCCUUAGGUUUAGAAAAAAUCUCUUCGCGAGCUAAAUGUGGUGCUAGUAGAUUAAGAAGGUUUUGUGUACUGCUCUCAUUAGUUCAGGAUCCGUUUUGAAAUUGUUAGAAGUUAAUCUAAUCCUUAUGAAGUUUUUCGAGUGUGCUAAAAGUUCCAACUUUUUUGCUAGGAAAUUGAACUGGAAGCACAUGCUGUUAAAGGCAUUCGGAAAACACAUGCAAAGUGGUCCCCAGUGGCCAUUGCUUGGUAUCGGAUGCUUCCUGAGGUAAGGAUAGACUGUAACUGUAGAUUUCUUCUUUUCUAAACCUUCUUCAUUUCUUUCGUUUAUUCUAUCUCAUUUUGACUCCAUAUUAUUACAAUAUUAUGAUAUAUUUAUAUAUUUAGGUUGUAUUAUUGGAAGAUAUCGAAGAUGACUUUGCUGAAGAACUCAAAAGCAAAUGCCCUAUUAAUCUGUUUGAUAUAGAAGAUCUUGGAAAAGGUACUUCUGUUCAUUAUGAUUUGUUGUCUAUAUGGUGUAAAUUUUGGUAAUUAUGUUUUUUCCCUUUAUAAAAGGGUUUUCCAGUAUUCCGUUACUAAAUGUGGAUUAUAUUCCUCUAAUAGUGGGGUCAGUAGCUAUGUGAUAGUGCUGACCGAUUCUUCUUGAUAUGCUUUAGCAUGUGAAGUUAGGAGAUAUUGUUUUAGGUACAUUUCCUAAUGAAGAAUUUGGCUGCCAAGCAGGUAGGAGAAGGGCAACUGUAGCAAGGCCAUGUGCGUGCACACUUUGCAGAGAAUGCAUAAGAGGUGACGAUUGGGAGAAACGUGUGGCCCUGCGCCGUGUUAAAGAUCAUUUCAUAUGUAAGUAAUGUGGGGCUACUCUAUGUCUUCUGCAUGUGUUGUCAAAAUUAGUUCUAGAUUUCUUUAAUGCCAUUGCUUAAUUAAUAUAUUUUCAUUGAUUUCAAACCAACUUAAGGUUAGGAAUAGCUUGAGAUUAAUAUGUUUUUCUCCCCUUUUCUAGUCACCAUUGAAUCUACUGGAGCAUUACCUCCUGAAGUUCUAUUUACUGAAGCAGUGAAGAUUUUAGAAGACAAGUGUGAACGCGUGAUAACGGAGCUCUCAUGAUGCUUUUAAUAUGGUUAGUAAGGAUGAGAGAAGCAAUGGAUUCUCUAUUAAUCCAAGGAGAUUUUCUUGCCUCUUAGUAAAUCUUUUUCAUUUCUCAUCUUUUGGUUCAUGGAUGGGAUUUGGAGGGGCAGAUGGUAUGAUUCACAUAUAUAUAUAUAAAAAGAGUGGAUUUUUGUGAGUUAAUGUGUAAUGAGAGGGAUAGAUUAUUGGUGAUAGGCUUUUUACAUUUUUGGUUUUGAAUUAAUAUAUAGUUGUAAUAUAUAGUGUUAUUAAUUUAUUAUUUUAAAUUCUAAAAUUAAAUUCAUUAAUUUUUAUAUUUAGUUUUAAAGUUAAAAUUUUUAUAGAAAAUUUAAUUCAAAUAAUAUUUUUAUUUAUCCUUAAAAAGUAUAUUUAAAGUUCAAAUUUAAAAAAUAAAACAUAUUAUUUGAUUAAAAUAAUUUUUUUUAAAGAUUAUGUUUUUAGCGGCGUUUUUCCUAGAAGCGUCGCUAAAGGUUUGUUCUUUAGCGGUGUUUGUGGGAAAAGCGCCGCUAAAGGCCGUGGUCUUUAGCGGCGUUUGUAGGAAAAGCGCCGCUAAAGGUCGUGGUCUUUAGCAGCGUUUGUGGGCAAAGCGCCACUAAAGAUCAUGCGCCACUAAAGAUCGUGGUCUUUAGCGGCGUUAGUGGAAAAAGCGCUGCUAAAGGUUAUGGUCUUCAGCGGCGCUUUUCCAAAAACGCCGCUAAAGACUUAUUUCAAAAAACGCCGCUAAAGUUAGCGACGCUGUCAUUAGCGGCGUUUUUUGCGACGCUUCUCUAAGCGCCGCUAAUGCUUAUAGCGGCACUUAAAGGCUUAAAAAAGCGCCGCUAAAAGCCUGUUUUGGUGUAGUGUAACAUUUCUCGUUUGACUAUUGAGUACAUAUUACUUGAACCAUAAUUAAACACUUUAAGUGAAUCUUUAGUGAGGAUGUUAUUUCUUGUUGAGUUUUAAUUUCAAGUAAUUAUUGAGAUAGGAGAGAUGCCUAAUAUUUUUAAACCUUGAAACUUUCUGCUUGGAUUGCUUUGUACCAUUUAGUGUCAUUUUAGUGUGAAUUUUCAAUGCAUGAUUAUCUGUAAAUUAUCCUAAGACAUUAUCGGCGGAAAUAAUAAAUUGAGAGACAAUAACUUGAAUGUGGGUUGAGAAUUUUGCUUGAUGAUAAGUAAACACUUAAGUGUGGGGAUAUUUGAUAUGUGCUAAAAGUAACAUAUUUUAGUCUCAUUCUUAAUGUGUUUUUAGGUGAUUAUUCAAUGUUAAUGGUGAAUUUUAUACUCCUAAUCCUUUAAAUUCAUUUUUUUAUACUUAGAAGAGAAAUUGGGAGCAAAAGGAGCGAAAACUGAAAUUUUGGAGCAAGGUACAAGGUCACACAGGCUGGACCAUUCCACAUGGCUUAAACACACGACCAUGUGAGCCACACGGGCUUCAACACGACCAUGUGAUAGGUCAUGUCAAUUUUACGAAUUGCACUCCGAACAGUGGAAAAACGCAAUUUUUAGGCAUUUCGGGCAUUCUGAAACCCAUAUAUGAAAAAAUAAGAAUAUAGGAGUGAGCCGUCAUAGAAUACUCAAGAAAAUAACUCGAAAAAUACCAUUGAAGCGGAUCCUAAAGCAGAUUUCCAUCAAGAUUGAAGAUUCCCUUUUGAUUUGUUUAGAGAUUAUUAUGAGUUUCUUUGUUUCUUGUGGUUAUACAGUAUUUUGGAUGUUUUUAUUUGUAAGCAUGAACUAAUUUUCUAAAUACCUAGUGAGAUGAACCCUAUGAUGGAUUAUGUCGUUUGAUUUUUUAUUUUACGCAAUAAAUACUUAGAUCUUGUUUUCAAUUAUGUGUGAUUAAUUAUUGGUUUAAUAUUUCUAGACUAUUAAUCCAUGUUGUGCUUAAAUUAGAGGAGGAAUAGACCCUGUUUAAGAGUAGAUUUUACGUAACUGAGUGGAGUUGCAUGUAAUUCUAGAAAUAGGACGACAUAAAUCUAUCAAAUUAGAGUCAACUGUAAUAGGAGAAUCCAUAAAUCGAGUUAAUGUGAUAAUAGGGGUUUUAAUUAGAAAGAAAUUUCAAUUAAUCCAUCUAAAGUCACUUGCUCUUAUUCUUGAAGAGAGAUAUUAGCAUAAUUUAGAUAUUCUACGGAUUAAGAUAUUAAGUGAAGAAAUUGCGUAAUUUAGAUAGAUAAUUGCAGAUGAAAUCUAGGUGAAUUCUUUCAUGGGUAAUGUUUCAAUUAUUGGUUACUAUUCAAUUAUUUUUCCUAAUUUGUUUUUUUUCACAUUCGUAGUUAAUUAAUUUAGUUAAAUUUAGUUCUAAUCAAUUACUUGAAUUUAUCAAUUAAAUAAUAGAAAGACAGUAAUUACUAGUACUUUUAGUCUUCGAGGGAAUGGCAUCUUUGUUCACCGUAACUAUACUAUUAAUUGAUAGGUGCACUUGUCUUAGUCAAAUUUUUAGUUGGUUUCGUGAACAUCAAUCCUAGUCAACGAAGGGGAGGAAGAAAUAUUCAAUUUUUAUGCAUAAAAACUCAAAGUAGUUUUGAUGUAGAAGCAACAUAGAAGACUCUUGAAGCCUAACACAACCAUCCAAUUACAUAAUUAAGACAUUUAAUUGACAACAAUUCUCAAUUACACGCAAAAACUAUGUCGAAAGUUUUGACCUAAAAACCUUUAACAAUUCUAGGCUUACCAACAAAAUCAAUGUCGAUUUCUCAAAUUAUUGUGCUGAGGAUCGUUGCGUUCAAUAUUCUUGCCUAAAACGAAACCAAACAAUUGCUUUAAAAGAAAGUUUAAACUAAUUGAGUUGGAAACAACUUUGAUAGAACUAAUGAACUACUGCCUAACGGAAGAUCUACGAUUGACGCGAUUUAUACAAUUUAUAUAACUGGCAGUAAGGAUACGAGCAGUUACCCGACGACGUAGUAGAUGACCCAUGAGAACCAAGUAACACGUGGACAAUAAAUAAGGGAAAUAGUAAAGAAAGAAAUAAAUGAAAAAGAAAGAAGAACAGGAAACAAAGGGAACGUUUAAUUAAUUAACCACCAAUAAAAAUUCUGGCAUUAAGUAAAAACAUUACCCUACACAUACACCGAGGCUCAAACACAGGACUAGAGAAUAGACAGAUGCUUAACCAAUGAACCAGCAGGCUUUUUCUUGACAUAGAUUUACACAAAAUUAAUUUAAGUCAACAACCCAAGAGCAGAGAUUGAUUAGAAUUAACUAGCAAAACUUCUAAAAUGCGACUCGAACUCCUGACCUCAAACACAUAAGCAAAGCAUAUUGCCACAUAUACAGAGACUUAAUCACUAUAGAAUCCCACAAAUAAACAUUCAACAUUUUGGGGCGUUACAUGAUGUGUAUAAAUCAGAGGAGGAAUGUACCCUGUUUAAUAGUAGAUCUUAUGUAGUUGAGUAAAGUUGUAUGUAAUCUUAGAAAUAGAUGACAUAUGUAACGCCCCAAAAUUUCUAAUUUCGUUAUUGUGAAAAUAUGACACAAAAUAUCUGUCAGCUUUAGUGGUUGUGUUCUGGAACUAUUUGAGAGGUCCAAAGUUCAAGCCUUUGCUUGGGCAAAUUUUGAUAUUUUGAAUGAAUUAGGCCUUACUCUUGUUCAGAAGGAUUUUCUUUGAUUGUUGGGUAAAUUGCAUCAGAAUGGGCCUAUUGGUCUGGUGGUUAAAUAGUGUGUUAUUAUGGUGGAGGUCUUGUGUUCAAAUCCCUAUGCAGGUAAGGGUAUUAUUUUUUUGCUCAGAUUUUGGGAUAGAGUUGUGUAAUAGGGGGAUUCUGAGUAGUGGAUGUGUAGUGGGAAUUAGGGGAAAAGAUUAAGGGAUUUUAGGGGUUAUCGGGAUUUUAUUUUAUUUUUUCCCAUAACAAAAUUUUGAUUCUUUUUCCAAAAAAUUUAUGCCGUCUAUUCUUCUCCCUCUCCUUUUGCCAAAAUUCUUUGUGUUUUCCAUCUUUCUCUUCUUUUUCUUCUUAAUUUUUCCCUAAUCCAUUUAUUUUCCUUUGUUUUCGCACGCAGUUAGUGCUUGCUUAGUUUCGUAAGUGUUUCUCUUCAUUUCUGUCAUGAAUCUCUUAGCAACUAAAGUGAUAAUUUUUUUCUCUCCGAUUUGGGCGUAGGAGGAGGCUCGGACUGGUGAAUUCAAUGUUCUCGUCUUAGCAAUAGUUAAACGGAGGGUUAUCAUUGGUGGUAAGUUGAGUUUUUGUUCGUUCUUGGUUGUCAAUUCGCUUGUAAAUCUGUUAAAUUGAUGUUGAGUAUCUUGAUUAUAGGCUUUGGAGUGCUCGGGGACUAUUUUAGCAUCAAACAAAAUCAGGUGCGUACCCGAAAUGCAAAAAAAGGGGAUUCGACGAAAAGCCGAAAUUACUUGCUAUUUGGACAACAACAGUAGGCUAAUUUUGAAAAAUCACCAUAAAUUGUGAAAAUUGAAUUAGAGGAUGAACAGUUGUGAAAAUUGUGAAAAUUUAAUUUUGAAAAAUCGCCAUAAAUGGUGCAAGUAAUGUAAUUGUAAAUCGUGAGAUAUAAUAAACUUUGUGAGACAAGGUCAGAAUGAAUUCAAGUUCCCUUGUUCUGACUUUGGAAAAUUAUCAAAAAAUGGAGAAAAUAAUUAGGGGUUGAAAUUUACAUGUUUAAAUUAUUAAUGAGUCUAUUUUCAAUAGAAACAAAUGGAAACGUCAUCCAAAUUUUGUACUAAGAGAUAAUUAAUUUUUAGCAAAGAAGGGUUGAAGCUGUUAGACAGCAGACCUGGGGUAAGUUUGAAGAUUUUACUGUACUUAUUGGUUGAACCAAAAAUUCUAAAAAUUUUAAAGCAAAUCAACUAGUAGUAGUAGCCAACUUGAAUGACAUAUAAUGUUUGGAAAUCUAAAUUCCCACCUACCCCGGAUAAAAGCAUGUAGCCACCUAUCUUGCAUGCUCCUAUCGAGUUGGUACUGUCUAAAAACUUAAGAUGCAAGCUGAAAGGUCGAUCAAGCUCAACUAAAAUACUAGGAAAUAUGGAUUUUUAGGAUCGAGGAAACACAUUAGGGUUAUGCGGUUACUGUACGAACCUAGAGCAUGCGAAGCCAACAUGUCCACACCUCUUGGGAUCUUUGAGGUGGGGAGCUAAUUAAAACACUAAAUCAUGCUGUGAAAACACUAGUUAUUCAUUUUCUGAUUAAUUUUUUCUGAAAAUUGUAAGUUAAUAUUAAUUAUUAAAGUAAGAUAUAUUACAAUACACAAGUCAAAGUUUUAAAAUUUUUCCGUACCUUCUUAGCAAAUAUUUGCUUUCUUAAAAUAUUAUACUUAACAAACGAAUGGAGAAAACUUAACUGAAAAAGUAACAUAAAUAAUUGUAAAUUUUAAACUCACAAUAUGAUAUGGUACAAAAAAAACCAAAUUAAUAGAUUUUUUUCGUAGAUUGUAAAUAAGUGUACAUUUGGGGAUGUAAAAUAAAAUAUAUAAUUUGGGAAAUUUACAAAUAACAUAAUCAUCCGUCCCAAAUGUAUGCCACAAUUGGGUGGCUUCGAGUACGCCUAAGGGUCUGUCACACUAUUUGGGUUGGUGGCUCCUCAUCGACUUCGGCUUCAUCUUCAUGUGCAUGUCGGGGUUGAUUGUCAUAUUCAUCUCCUUCCUCCGUGGUUGAUUGCGACUGUGCCCUAGCUGCCUAUUGUACAUCCCCCCUGUUUGAGUCGACAAUUGCGAGGAUAACCUGCCUUGGUAGAAAAAUGAUACCGGGGGUGUUUGCGACGCUAUUAACAGAUGAUUGUAUGGUGUCGUAUGGGCCGAUUACGGAUAGAAGGUGGGAAUUGUUGAUGAUACUGGAUGGGUUAGUGUUGCUGUUGACUUCGGUGUCUAAUAUGAUUGUGCGUGUUAUGGUGCUUGUGUAAAAUAAACUGCAGCUAAAGGUGUUAACGUGGGGAAUGAUUGUGCAUGUUGUGAUGUUUGUGUCAAAUAAACUGGGUUAGAACCAAAAAUAUAUAAACCAUAUUGACCGGGAUGUUGCACGACAAUCAAGUCCUCUUGUGGAGAUGGAGCAGAUGUUGAUCCCCCCGCAACAUCUUCUCUCGACUAUGAUUAAUAGGCCCUUGUCUUGGCCUCUUACGGUAACGUUACCUACUCCUUUCUUAAGUCGAUAGUAGAUAAAACUUGUCGUUAUGCCUGAAGCAAUUCAUGUAAUCUAGAGAUGUCGCCAAAUCUGCUGUGAAAAAUAGUUCACGUGUUGGUAAGUAAUCGUACCUACGUUGCCAAAUCUUAAUAUACUUCUUGUAGAAUGUUGGUCAAUCGUCCUCGAGUCUCCCUCACAUGUCGAUCUUGUACAAGUUAUCGAGCUCUUAGGGUGGCAGUGGAAUACGUUGCGUACACCCGAACUACUGCAUCAUUCGGUCAGAUUUGUGCAUCUCGACCAAUGCAAAAAUGAUCAAUGGCACUUUCACGUGCCAGAUGUUUGUAAUUGGCCAAAAGUUUGACCAGGACACAUUCUUGAAUCCUCGAAUCCACAUAUGACAUUCGUACAAAGUGUAGUACAAAUUUAUAAAAUUUAGCUUGUUCCUAAUAUUUAAUUUCAAAUGCUGGAAUACAAAACCAAUAACUUUGAAAUUCAUAAACUAACCUCCUCUUUGGUUGGUUGAUCUAAAGUUAGUUGAAUAUGCUCGAGCAAAGUUGAUAUAACACUGUGUCUCACGGGGAUGUUCCACCUAUUCAAAUAAUAUGUUAUUUCAAAAUUACAACAAUGAAAAAUAAAAAUGAUAAUGAUUUUAUCAAAUGAAAUUUACCAUAUUACAAGUGAGAAUUUGUACAAGAGUUCCACUUGGGGGCAUAAAAAUGGUAGUCGAUACUAUGCCCAUGAUUGAAGAAGGAGUAUGCAACCGCUAAUUUUAGCCUUUUCUGGUAUUAUCGUUCGACACAUUUCUUAGUAUAAUAUCGCCAGCACUGCUAAUCCCCAACUAAGUUGUACCACUUCUUUCAUGUUGGCUAAUAGUAGUAGCCAACUUAAAUGUACCAAAUUGAGAGAUUUAUCUGGCAUUAGUAGACCCCCAGUCAACCUCAAGAUGAAUGUGUUUGCGAAUUGUUCUUUUUCAACGUCACUCGUGGAAGCCUCGAUAGUUUUGAAUUUGUCCUCCAACCAUCUCAUCUCGAUCCGACUACCCCCUAAACUUGUUCGAAACCUUCCCUAGUAGUUGCUUGCAUGUUACAUUCCAAUUGGAACUAAUCACUAGCCCUGUAAUGACUUCUCCAUUGACCUGUAGACUAAGUUGUAAACUAAUGUCCUCAAGUUUAAUCAUAUACUCACCGCAGGGAAUAUGGAAUGUGUGUGUCUCCUGUGUCCAUCUUUUGACCAAAGCACUGAUAAGUGGGGAAUCCAAUUUAUUCCUUUCAAGCAUGCGAGUUAUGUAUAAAAAUCAUACAUCUUGCAAGUGUCCAUAAAUGACACUCGAUACACCUUCGCUUAAAUUGUUUAUGUACGUCUCCAAAAUCCGAUCUUUAGGUUGAGUAUAUAAACAUAAAAUAAAAAUAAUCUAAACAUCAUACUAAUUAACUACUUAAAAUUAAAUAAUUAGAUAAUUAUUUCUUACUAUUUGUAAUUUAAUGCCGAAGAUAUGCUUGUCAUCUAAACAAAUAAGUUGAUUCGCGAUUUAAAAAUUUUGAAGGAAUAAAAUAAAAUCGAAAAGAAUAAAAUUUAGAAAAAUAAUAAAAAAAUUAAUUGAGAAUUGAGAAUUAAGAAUUGAGGAUUGAGGAUUGAGGAUUGAGGAUUGAGAAUUGAGAAAUGAAAAUUGAGGAUUGAGUAUUGUGUUGAAAAGAAUGGGGUUUGGAGGGAGUUUAUAAAGGAAAAAUUAUGGUUGUUGGACUCCUUUUAGUUGUUGGAAAAGUUACAAUUGGAAUAGUUACCAUUGAAAGAAAAUGUAUCCUACAGGGUACGUUUUUCUUUCUCUCUCCAAAAACAACGCAGAUCGAUAAAUUAAAAAAACGACACACUUUCUUAAUUGCUUUUUUUUCAGCAUAUUUAUAAAAAUUAUCCCCUUCAUUUUAGAUUUUUGGUUUUUAAUAGAUUUACUUUGAUUUUAGUCUAAAAUUUAGAUUCAAAGGUCUUUCAAUUUAUAGGUUUUCAAAUUUCAUUUUUCUAAAUUUUAGAAUUUUUAAGUUCUUAAUGUUAGAUUAUAAAAUCCUAGAAUUUUAAGUUCAAUUCCGCUUAUUUUUAGAAUUCUACAGUUUUUUUUAGUUAACCUUAAAAUUUAGACAAUAAUUAUAGAAUUUCAAAUUUUAUUUAGUAUUAUAUAUUUGGACAUCUUUGUAAUAACCUAUUUUUUCCCGGCCCGCUACAAAUAAAAGACCCAAAAAAAUAAUAAACAAAAUUAAACCCAAUUAUGCCAGGCCCAAAUACAAAAUUAACCCUCAGCCCAAACUAAACCCUAGCCCAAAACUAAAAACUUUUCAGCCAAAAGAAACCCUAGGUGCGCCGCACCUAGGUCUGCUCCUAGCCGCCGCCUCUAGGCCUGCUCCUGGUAGCCACACGCCAACCACAUCCACGCCCUAUGCGCACCUAACACCUGCAAAGAGAAAUCAAUGCAAACAGCAGAAGAAACAAAUAGAAAAAAAAAUAGAAAUUAAAAGAUUGUAACUCGGCUAUAAAAGCUGAAAUAUUCUCGGCGUAAUUUUUUUACGGACAUUAGAAAUCGAAAAGAGAACAAAAAGGUUGUUGUUUUCUUCGUUUUUUUCUUUUUUUUGAUUCAUUUACUUAUUUUAUUUAUCAUUUCUUACAAAUCCGUUUAAAAAAACUAUUAAUAAAAGAAGAUAUAAAUAAAAGGAGAAAUGAGGGACUUACCUGGAAUCGCCCCGCAAGUCCCGUCACCGGAGCCCCUUUGUGGCUGCCGAAAUCGGAUCGAGGGAGGGCGCGGGGGUCUCUUUUCCUUCGACCUUUGGGCUAACAAGGCUCAGUCUUCAAAUGGCCCUUUUUAAAGCGGUGUAAAAAAAUGACCUUUGAGUCGCACGCCACCGCGGCGCUGUGGCGGCGACUAUGGCCGGUCGAGGAGCGGAUUGAGAGAAUCUGAGAGAGCCCUCAAAUUUUUUGUUGAAGAAUGAAGUUGAUAUGGUCUUUUUUGUUCUAUUUUUGUUAUUUAUAUGGGAUUCAAUAUGGCGUCGUUUUGGGUUUACGUGAUAAUAGCCAAAACGACGCCGUUUUGCAUAAAACCCACGACCUGACCCAAUAAGCGCUGAGGAUCCGCAAGUUUUGUUGGGAGGGGCUGAUUGCAUGUUCAGCCCCUCCACUUUUACAGUACAGUGCAAUCUUAUCGCAACUAUUUUUAUACUUUGACCACGUAAAUUUUGUACCUGUUUCAAUUUGGUCCCGCGCGAAAUGACGCGCUUUAAGGGUUGGGGAUUAAUUUCCCAUUUGGCCCUUGCGUCUUUGCACGUGUUUCGAUCGACCCCAAAUUGCUCUUUUUCAUUUCAAAUUUUUCCCAUUGAUUUUAUUUUAAUUCUAAUUUGGUCCUUAACCUGUUUCAUUUUAAUCUCUUAAUUUGUUAUUUAUUAUUUCAUUUCAAUUUUUACACCUAUUAUUCUUCAUUAACAGCUUUCACUUUAUUUUAUUUUUAUUAUUUAUAUUAAAUUGUUUGAUUACCUAUUCUAAUUUGAUUUCACAUGUUAUUUAUUUUAGAUUUUUUUUAACAUAUCACUUCUUUUAGACUACUUUAUGUAAUGCUUAUUUUGAAUUGCUUAAAAAUGUUUAUUUCAAACUAUCAUAUGUUUUAUUUAUGUUAAAUUUUAUAUUGUUAAUUUUGAGCAUUUCAUAUUAUUUAUUUUAAAUCUUUAUUAUUUACUUUAAAUUGUUAUUAUGUGAUUUUAUUUCAUCUCCUUUUGAUUAUUAGUUAGCAUUAAAGUAAUGUACAUUGUGCGAUUUUUGCCAUCAUGCAUGUUAUGAAUCGUUUAUCCAUAUUUUCACAUUGUUGCCAUCCAUCAAUGUACCCAUUCAUUCAUACAUCGUUUUAAACGUUAUAUUAAUUUUUACCCAAACACGCAAAAAAUAAAAAUUUCAGCAUAAGGCCAUAUUUUGCGUUUUGGCAAUUCGAGAAAAUCGUACCCUAACUUACGGGGUUUUGAUUUGCUCGUUAAACUUAAAUAGCAAAGUACCCUUUUAAACUUUCAAAAAAAUGAAAGAAAUCUCGUUAUAAGGUAACAUUGCAUUUUCGUGAUUCGGGUACCCUAACUUACUAGGUUUCGAUUUUCUCGUUAAACCUAAAUGGUAAAAUGUCCUUUUAAAUUUCAAAAUACGAAAUUCUAAUGAAUUAAACGCCAGCUUAUUCUCUAAAGCUCCAAAUAUGGUACCCUAACUGACGGGGUUUCGAUUUUCUCGAUAAAUCCAAAUAAAGAAACGUUUUAAAGUAAAAUUUUUAAAAAUCUUGGGAAUUGAGAAAAGAUCGUAUUCUAACUUACAGAAUAUGAUUAUUUUUCUAAAAUUGAGAUAAUCAAAUAUCUUUUAAAGUAAUAAAACUUUUGGUGUUUAUUCUCGUUUUAGGGAUUUAAGAUAUUGUAUCCUAACUUACGGAAUAUAAUUUUUUUCUCGAUUAACAUGAAAUACGCCCAUUUCUAAUUUUUUUCAAUUAAGCAAUAUUUUAACAAAGGAUCAUAUUUUCAAACUCUUCAAGGUUUUCAAUUUUCGACACUAAGACACUAAUUAAUCAACUAGGUACCAAUUUUGGGUGUUACGAGGGUGCUAAUCCUUAUUCGUAUGUAAUUGACUCUCAAACCUAUUUUUUCAAACUAUUUAUUAGAAACAACCGUUUUAUGUGGUGACCGGAUCACACCUCAUCAAAAAACGAUUAGUGGCUACUCCCGUUUUCAUUUUCCUUUUCAAAAUAAAAUUUGACCCUAUUUUUACUAAAAAAUGGUUUCGACAGCUUGGCGACUCCACGGGGGACUAAAAUAAGAGAGUCAAGCCAUAAGUUGAUUAUUUCUUGUCUUUUUGUCGAAAGUUGAUAAUUUAGUUUAAAUUUACGAUCCUUUCGUUGCAUUUCAUUUUUGUAGUCUGAAUUAUUUUGUUAUUUCUGCUUUAUUUGUUCAAGUCUCGAUAUAUUUUUUGGCAUAUUGCAUUUGCAUAAUUGUUCGAUUUACCCUUUUAAGUGGGAAUGAAAAACUACGCCUUCGUGAGGUUUUCACCUUCGCAUGGGAUAGUAAAUCACUUUCGGGAUACAUCCGUAUAGCCGUAGGAAAAUGUAUUCCCUUGAACCGAACUCGGUCCGUAUAAGCCUGUAAUGGGUGAGGAUCGAGGAAUCUGUUGGUUCGGGUACCUCAACUUUAGAACCAAACCACAUGUAGAAGACCUUAGGAGACCACCCUAGGUAGAACCACUUCAAACCCUUAGUGGUCACCCAAAUAGGUACUCUAUUUUUCCUGUUUGCUUUUGAUUUGUACUAACUCGUUUUGUUUUGUUUUGGUUAUGAUUACAUUGCAUUUUCAUCUUAGAAAAAAGGUGUUGACUCAAGUUUGAUUACUAAAUUAGAGAGCUUGUCAUGGAAAAUGAAUUUCUAGAUAAAGUGGAAGAUAAUAUGGCUGCUCGAAUAUAUUUCAAGAAACACAACAAAAGAAGGGUGAUGGAAAAGUACAUGACUUUACUUCAUGGCACGAGGAUUCAAGCUAAUUAUUUGAGAGUCGCCGACAUUCUAAAUUCCUUAAAGAAGCUGAUGAGCAUUACAAGGAUGGGCAGACGAUGGAUCGCAACCAGGAUCAAGCAAGAGGGAGUUAGUAGUAGUAUCCAUUGGAAAUUUACGAGAUUUAUCUUAAACAUCUUGAUAAAGGGAAAGAUCGAUGUUUCUUAGACUAUGAGGGCGAGGUCGUACAUGCAUCCAUUUUAUGUAAAGAAAUUUGUUUUUUAGUAAAGUUUUCUAAAUGCAAUUGAAUCAGAGCUAAUGUCUUUUUUUGCAUUCAUUUUAUGCAUUUUCAUUAAAUGACAUCAUAUGCAUUAAAGUCCACCAAAAGAUUCUAAUUGAGUAAAAUUAUUUCAAUUAAUUUGGAAAUCGACAAAAACCUACCAACCAAAUAUCGUUACGGUACUCGUUGCAAAAAUAAUGAAAUGGACUAAAGGUUAGGGAGAUUAGAGCAAAGGCAAAUACAGAUGCAAAAGCAAUUGGCCAAAGUACAACAGGAGAUAAGUAAUCAGAUGCUAGAAUUACAAAGAAAUUUGAUGAGCCAGUUAACCCAGUUGCUGGCUGGAGGGUUAAAAAGAUGAAAGAGCCUCAUGGUCAAUUCUGGGGACGAUAAUGAGGACCCUGCUUAUUCUUCAGGCUUUACCCCAACAAACACCCCAGCACAACCAGUUGGAUAUCCGUAAAAGGUGUCUGUUAACAUCAGACCCCAAUACCAGACCGGUACCUUGACACCAAUGAAUUACCUGACAUGCUCAAAUUCUAGCCUGGGGGACAAUCUAACCAAUCCUGUGGUCCUUGAUGAUCUAGCGAAAACAAAACAAGCGAAAGUAGAGUUCUCAAAGCAAUUUGAAGAUCGUUACAAAUAAAAAAGGCAAGAAUGGGCUUCCCAAGCCAAUACUUUAAAAGCUCCGGGGAAGAGGAAGAAUGAGGUAAAUAACGCAAGCAUGUAUAACAAGGGAUACCCAAAACCAAUUAUUGUAGGCCAGCUAAAGACAGUAAUCGCAAGUUAUCAUGGCCCUUCAAGGCAAGAAUCUUACUCGAGGACAAAUACAGAAAGGUUUCAGUUUACGCCUAUACCAAUGACAUAUAGAGAGCUAUGUCAAAGCCUAUUUGAAGCACAUAUAGUAUCCCAUUUCUACUUGAAACCAAUGUAGCCCCCAUUUCUUAAAGGGUACGAUGGAAAUGCCCAGUAUGAAUACCAUGUAGGAAUCACGGGGCAUUUGAUAGAAAACUGCACCGCUUUCAAAAAGCUAGUUGAAAGGCUCAUCAGUAAGGGUAUUGUCAAGUUCGAUGACGCAUCUAAUCUGCUACCCAAUCAUGUUGAUAAUGGGGUAAACACGAUGAGUGAAGAUAUGGGGAGAAGAAUCAAGAUAGACAUUGCAGAAAUAAAAACUCCUUUGAGUUGGGUCUGGAAGGAGAUGGCAAGAAAAGGAUUAGUCAUUUCUAAUUCAGGAGGAAACCAUGGGAAGACAAGGAUCUAUUGUGAGUUCCAUCAUAAGAAGGGGCAUGAGAUCCAAGAGUGCAAGGAAUUCAGGGCCUUGGUUCAAAGCAUGAUGGACAAUAAAGAGAUGGAGUUCUGUGAAAAAUUAAAGAGAGAAACAUAUGCACAAUGUUGGGAAAUGUUCAUAAUUAAAAAGGGACCUUGUUAGAUAUUCGAUUUAUAAACCUUGGAAUGUUCUAAGCAAUCAGACUGCAGAAGAAAUCUCUGUAGUAUUUAGAGCUUAUUUAGAGUAAUGUUCAGAACACAUUUGUUGCUUUUAGCCUAGAGGCAAUAAGAAUUCCUUUGUGAAAUAGGCUUAUGUCUAAACGUCAUUAUUUUAAUGAAAUACAUUAUUGUGAUCAUUUUUGAGCUAGUAUUCUUUCAUUCUUUACAAAUAAUUAUUUUUAAUUCUUUCAUUCUUUUAGAUUUUCUUCCACAUCAUUCUUUCAUAAUCAUAUUGUACAAAUAAUUAUUCAUAAAUUCAUACAUUCUUUGUAUGUUCUUUUGUACCUACAAUAGGUCACUAGAUAUCAAUGACAUGAAUGACACUACUACAGACUCAGAAUCUCCUUUUGAGCAGAAACAUGUGUUUGGAGAGAUUUCAUGACUUUGAAAAUGACGUAGAUUGUAACCUAUCUCUGAACUUGUUAAAGAUGGUAGAGCAAAAAGGAAAUUUUACCUCAUGAGGAGACAAUGGAGAUUGUGACCUUAAGGGAACGUGCAUAAUCGAAGAAACAAAGCAGAACCUCGUUGAGUUACUUCAAGAUUUCAAAGAUGUCUUCGCAUGGUCAUACAAGGAUAUAACCGGGUAAGCACUGACAUUGUAAUCUGAACAACAGCACCAUAUCAAAAAUUUACAGUAUGUUCAAGAUUAACAUCAUGAACAAUGCAGUGAAAAUUCUUUGCCGGGGCAAUGCCUUUCUCUUUGACUUAUCAUAGCUUUUCCCAUUGAAGUCGAGUUUCCAUCCAUCUGAAUUUUUGUUGGAUUUUAUCCUGAUUGAAGAGGAAGAUCCAAAAUUUUCUGUCAUUGUUAAAUUUCGCCCUAGAAGGCUCUUUGAAAGACACCUUAUACCAAAGAAGAUCUUUCACAUACAAAAUGAAAGUGAAAGAUCUUGUGUGGAAGACUUUAUCUAGAAAAGCAUUAAUUCUGAUCAAAAGGGAUAACAAGGACUUGUCUAAUCCUAUGAAUUUAGAUCCGAUCAAAAAAUAUUUCAAAAAAAUAAAAAAAUGAAAAAUGAAAAUGAUGAAAAAAGAAAAGAAAAAGAGAAGGAAAAGAAAAAGGAGAGGCCAAGGUGAAAACCCACAAAGAGUGCCGUGAGACCAAAGGGGAUUUGAGUUGAAAACUCGAAAAGGACAUCUCAAAUGUUGAUCAGAAUGGGGCAUGAGGUGAUUAGAGUAGCUCAAAUUUCGAUCAAAAUUGGGUAUGAGGUGAUCAGGGUAGCUCAAAUUUUGAUCAGAUUAGGGCAUGUGGUGAUCUUGUUGUACCUGAAACAACAGGAAAUGGUAGGCGACAUCUUAAGGCAUCGAUAAAGUACUGUAGAUCUCCUAAAUACAUGUCAAACUCAGAAUGGUCUUCAGAAAGUUUGUAUAGAGAAGUUCAAGAUGCAAUAAUUGGGGCACUUGGUCUUCAUACUAUUUAUAUUGAAUUUGCUAUUCUUGGAAUACUUCAUUCUUUUUCAAGAUAUGUGUUCUCAAUCAAUUCCUUUGAUAUUCUUACUCUCUUUGAUAAUUUAUCUAUUUCACGUCAUGUUCCCAAGUUAAUCCUAUUUUAUCCAUCGUUCUGAUCUUUUGUUAGCAUGUUGUAUUGGAAUAAUGAUUAAUGGACUAAUAAUACUUUCACGAGGGAAGUUUUGCAUAUUACUCUAGAAGUUUCUAAAUAAUAUAGGAACCUGAAAGAGGACUAUUGUUUAGAACGCACCAAGUUAAAAGGUUGAAAUAUCUAAGAAGGAAAAGUCAAAUUUAAGACUAUCCAUUCGAAUUUUAUUGUCAAAAUAUUGACAAGAUGUCGUGUUGGUGACAAAGCUUCAAUGAACAAACAAGCAAUGAUCAUUGAGUGAGAAGAAGAGGUUUCUUGGAAGAGAAAGUUCUACAAUUGUGCAUAAACAUUUGGUACGACACCCUGGGAAUGGUGUAGGAGACCAAAGAGUUUUAGAUCUUGUAUCCCUGAAUUGCAGUGGGAGAGGAUUGAGAAAGAGCCAAAUCUUAUACUUAGUGGGAGGAAGAUGAUUCAAAUUUUAUGUCCCAAAGGUACAGUGGAUUGAACCUUAAAGAUUACAGUGUUACCAGCCAAACAAGAUAGCAUUCUAACAUGUUGGUAAUGAGGUCUUAAUGAACAAUGAGCAAUAACAACUCGAACAUUAAGAUAUCAUUUUCAUGACAUUUUGCAUUCAUGCAUACACAUCUGGUUAGGAAAUUUUGAUUCAUUCUGAUCAUAACAUUCUAAUCACUAGGCAUAAAUAGGCCUAUGAAAUGGAUUCUACAGGUUUUGUUCCCCAGAACAGAUCGGUGAAACCACAAACCCUAUACCACUGAAGUUAUAGUGGAAUGGAUUGAAGAAGACGGUGAAUCUUAUCUUCCCAAGGUAGUAGGAAAGCAGAUUUAAGCCACCAGUCCUAUCUCCCUAAGUAGCAGUGGAGUAGGUUGAAGAUUGUAGAUCCUGUCUCCCUAAGCAGUAGUGGAGCAGAUCAAAGAUGGUGAAUCUUAUCUUCCCAAGGUAGUAGGGAAGCAGAUUUAAGCCACCAGUCCUAUCUCCCUAAGCAGCAGUGGAGUAGGUUGAAGAUUGUAGAUCCUGUCUCCCUAAGCAGUAGUGGAGCAGAUCAAAGACGGUGAAUCUUAUCUUCCCAAGGUAGUAGGGAAGCAUAUUUAAGCCACCAGUCCUAUCUUCCUGAGCAGCAGUGGAGUAGGUUAAAGAUUGUAGAUUCUGUCUCCCUAAGUAGUAGAACAGAUCAUAGAUGGUGAAUCUUAUCUUCCCAGGGUAGUAGGGAAGCAAAUUUAAACCACUAGUCUUAUCUCCCUAAGCAGUAGUGGAGUAGGUUAAUGAUUGUAGAUCCUGUCUCUCUAAGUAGUAGCGGAGCAGAUCGAAGACAUCGAACCUUAUUUCCCUGACAUUGCAGCAGAAUAGAUUAAAGCUAAGGGUAGCGAAUCUUAUUUCACUGGCAUUGUAGUGGAAUAGAUUAAAGCUGAAGUGGAGUGGAUUAAAGCUAAAGGCAACGAAUCAUAUCUCCUUGGUGUUACAGUGGAACAGAUUAAAGCUAAAAGUAGCGAAUCUUGUUUCUCUGGCGUUGCAGUGGAGCAGACUAAAACCACAAAUCUCGUCCUCCUAAAGUUGCGGCUGAGUAGAUUGAAGCUACAAGUCGUAUCUCUCUGAAGUUGCAAGGAAGUGAAUCGAAGCAACAAGACACAGUGGACUGGAAUGAGGCUACUUGAAGAAGAUGGGCACCAAGACUUCAAGAUUCAGCGACACCAGGCAAAAUUGGUCCCUUUUGAUGUCUUUGCUCUGUUCUCGUUACACGACAACAAGCAAAGAGAGGCAGCUGUAAUAGCCCAUUUUUUCCCGGCCCGCUACAAAUAAAAGACCCAAAAAAAUAAUAAACAAAAUUAAACCCAAUAAUCCAGGGCCCAAAAACAAAAUUAACCCUCAGCCCAAACUAAACCCUAACCCAAAACUAAGAACUAUUCAGCCAAAAGCAACCCUAGGUGCGCGUAACCUAGGUCUGCUCCUAGCCGCCACCCCUAAGCCUGCUCCUGGCCGCCGCACGCCAGCCACAUCCACGCCUCAUGUGCACCUGACACCUACAAAGAGAAAUCAAUGCAAAUAACAGAAGAAACAAAUAGAAAAAAACAAAAAAAAUAGAAAUUAAAAGAUUGUAACUCAGCUAUAAAAGCCGAAAUAUUCUCGUUGUAAUGUUUUUUCUACGGACAUUAGAAAUCGAAAAGAGAACAAAAAGGUUGUUAUUUUUUUUCUUUUUUUCAAUUCAUUUAUUUAUUUUAUUUAUCAUUUUUUACAAAACCAUUUUUUUAAAAAAAACUAUUAAUAAAAUAAGAUAUAAAAAAAAGGAGAAAUGAGGGACUUACCUGGAAUCACCCCACAAGUCCCAUUGUCGGAGCCCCUUUGUGGCUUCCGAAAUCAGACCGAGGGAGGGUGUAGGGGUCUCUUUUCCUUCGGCCUUUGGGCCAAGAAUGCUCGGUCUUCAAAUGGCCCUUUUUAAAGCGGUGUAAAAAAAACAACCUUUGAGUGGCACGCCACCGCCCACGACGGCGCUGUGGCGGCUACUAUGGCUGGCCGAGGAGCGGGUUGAGAGAAUCUGAGAGACCCCUCAGAUUUUUUGUUGAAGAAUGAAGCCGAUAUGGUUUUUUUUGUAUUAUUUUUGUUAUUUAUAUGGGAUUCAAUACGGCGCCAUUUUGGGUUUAAGCGACAAUAGCCAAGACGACGCCGUUUUCCAUAAGACCCACGACCCGACCCAAUAAGCACAUCCACGUGUUUUGUUGGGAGGGGCUAAUUGCAUGUUCAGCCCCUCCACUUUUGUAGUACAGUGCAAUCUGAUCGCCAUUGUUUUAAUAUUUCGACCACGUAAAUUUUGUACCUAUUUCAAUUUGGUCCCGCAUGAAAUGACGCGCUUUAAGGGUUGGGGAUUAAUUUCCUAUUUGGCCCUCGCGUCUUUGCACGUGUUUCGAUCGACCCCAAAUUGCUCUUUUUCAUUUCAAAUUUCGCCAACUGAUUUUAUUUUAAUUCCAAUUUGGUCCUUAACCUGUUUCAUUUUAAUCUUUUAAUUUCUUAUUUAUUAUUUCAUUUCAAUUUUUACACCUAUUAUUCUUCAUUAAUAGCUUGCACUUUAUUUUAUUUUUACUAUUUAUAUUAAAUUGUUUGAUUACCUAUUCUAAGUUGAUUUCACAUGUUAUUUAUUUUAGAUUUUUUUUUUACAUAUCAUUUCUUUUAAACUAUUUUAUGUAAUGCUUAUUUUGAAUUGCUUAAAAAUGUUUAUUUCAAACUAUCAUAUGUUUUAUUUAUGUUAAAUUUUAUAUUGUUAAUUUUAAGCAUUUCAUAUUAUUCAUUUUAAAUCUUUAUUUUUAAAUUGUUGUUAUGUGAUUUUAUUUCAUCUGCUUUUGAUUAUUAGUUAGCAUUAAAGUAAUGUACAUUGUGCGAUUUUUGUCAUCAUGCGUGUUAUGAAUCGUUUAUCUGUAUUUUCACAUUGUUGCCAUCCAUCAAUGUACCCCUUCAUUCAUACAUCGUUUUAAACGUUAUAUUAAUUUUUAUCCAAACACGCAAAAAAUAAAAAUUUCAGCAUAAGGCCAUAUUUUAUGUUUUGGCAAUUCGAGAAAACCGUACCCUAACUUACGGGGUUUUGAUUUUCUUGUUAAACCUAAAUAGCAAAGUACCCUUUUAAACUUUCAAAAAAAUGAAAGAAAUCUCGUUAUAAUGUAACAUUUCGCAUUUUGGUGAUUGGAAAAUCGUACCCUAACUUACUGGGUUUCGAUUUUCUCGUUAAACCUAAAUGGUAAAAUGUCCUUUUAAAUUUCAAAAAUACGAAAUUCCAAUGAAUUAAAGGCCAACUUAUUCUCUAAGGCUCCAAAUAUCGUACCCUAAUUGACGGGGUUUCGAUUUUCUCGAUAAAUCAAAACAAGCGAAUGUUUUAAAGCAAAAUUUUUAAUAAUCUUGGGAAUUAAGAAAAGAUCGUGUUCUAACUUACGGAAUAUGAUUAUUUUUCUAAAAUCUAGAUAAUCAAAUAUCUUUUAAAGUAAUAAAACUUUUGGUGUUUAUUCUCAUUUUAGGGAUUUAAGAUAUUGUAUUCUAACUUACGGGAUAUAAAUUUUUUCUCGAUUAACUUGAAAUACGCCCAUUUCUAAACUUUUUCAAUUAAGCAAUAUUUUAACAAAGGGUCGUAUUUUCAAACUCUUCAAGGUUUUCAAUUUUCGACACUAAGACACUAAUUAAUCAACUAAGUACCAAUUUUGGGCGUUACGAGGGUGCUAAUCCUUCUUCGUAUGUAACCGACUCCCGAACCUGUUUUUCUGAAUUUCGCAAACCAAAAGCAUUGUUUUAAUAAAUCCGAACUGUUUAUUAAAAACAACCGUUUUACGAGGUGACCCGAUCACACCUCAUCAAAAAAAGAUUGGUGGCAACUCUCAUUUUUAUUUUCAUUUUCAAAAUAAAAGUUGACCCCGUUUUUACAAAAAAUGGUUUCGACAAUCUUCUUUCCUUUUGAUUAAGUUUAUUCGGAGUCAAGACUAGAAUUUUAAAACCUUAAACAUUAAACCUUGUAUUCGAAUAGGUAUUGUAGGGAUGCUUUAACCUUUUCUACACAUAAUUGUACAUUAGAACCCAUAUUUGAUUAUAAGACCGUGCCUUAGUUUGAAGAUUUUUCCUUUGAUUUGUUUUAGGAUUAACCUUAAAGCUUUGGGUGAUAGGUGACUAACCGACCAAGCUCAAAUUAGUUAAUGACAACUUCAUUUUUUAGGUUUUUGUGUCUAGUUUGUUUCAUCCCUAACAUGUUAUGACAACUUAGCGACUCCACCACAAACUCUAGUUUCAAGAGUUUAUCUACUUUAGAGCUUGGGUUUUUGUUGUAAUUUACAUAUGUAAUUAUAUUUGUUGUAAAUUGUCAUUCACUUUACACAUGAAUUUUAUCCUAUUCCCUCAUUUGUCCUGUUAGGAAGAGUGGUCUUGGGCUUUCAUGUGGUCCUUUCCAUAGCAUAAAUUAUUUUUUAAAAUCGAUAGUAAAUUUAUCAUUUAUUUAUUGAUUUCUUGAAGUGUUUACAUGUCCAUGUUUAUAAUUCAUUAAAAGUAAAAAAAUAUAUAUAAUGUUAAAUGGUUCAAAAAAUAUUUUAUAAAAUCAAUAGUAAAAAAAUUAUAAUGCAAUACUGUUUAAACCAUAUCAAACUAUCCGAUUGGACUGGUAAUCGAUUGAGAUACCGAUCCAGAAAGGUAAAAAAUAGGUGAUCUACAAACUGAGCUAAAAAUAGUUGAACCGAUUGAAUCAUCUUUUAUAAUUAUUAAUAUUUUUUAUAUUUUUUUAAUAAUUUACUUAAUUUAAAUCGAACAGACUGAAAAUCGACAAUUUGGUUUGUUUGAUCACUAAUCCGAUUUCAAAAAUAUUAAUAUAAUAUUCAACUUAAAUUGUAAACUUUUUGAAAUUAUGUAUUAAGAUGUUCAAAUUUAAUUUGCUCCAAUUUAAUUUGGAUUCUUCGACUUAAAGAUAACCAAGCUUAUUUAAGCUAAAUCCAAGUAGUUUACAACUCUAGUAUUUAAUAUUACUAGCUUUUAAUGUUGCAAGUAUUGCGUGUGAUUUUGCGCAUUUAAUAUUUAAUUAAUUUUUUAAAGAUUUUAUUUUUAAUUGCAUUAAUUAACAUAAAAUAAUAUUUUUUAUUUAAAUUAUUGGACAUAAUUAAAAUAUAUUAACUUAUUAUAAAUAUAUAUAUAUUUCUUAAAUUUUUUUUGUUAAUGUUACACAAUACUAUAUAUAUAUGCUGGAAGGAUGCUCAGUUAUCUGUCAAUAUGCAGCCUUGAUUGGAUUUGUGUUUUUGUAUGUUUCAAAUAGUUUGUUUAUUUGUAGGGAAAAUCUGGAAAAGAAUAUGAGCAAUCAGAGGGGUUCCGACAGGAGUUGAAAUUGAAGGUUCGACAGUUGUUGAUAGAGUAGUAAUGGCAUCGGAGAAAAAUGGCGAUAAGGGUAUCUUCAGAUAUCUGAAGAAGAAGUUCAACAAAAGAAGGAUGAAGAAGAGCAAAACGAGACGUGGAUAAUUAGGGUUACCUUUCUUUUGAUUUAUGGUAUCCCUGUUUGGAGGCCUUUUUUAUUAAUGAAUUCAUCGACUUAGCAAAAGGAAAAAAAAAACAUAUCCAGAACUUGUAUAAUAAAUACCUUCAAGAGGUCAAACAACAUUGAGUGAAACAAGUAUGAAUUCUUGGGCAACCACAAGACUCCUCCAAUGUGACAAAUAGAGAAGCUAAAGGCUAUCUAUCAAGAGAAAUAGUUUCAGGAGUGUUGGAAACUAGAAAGAUGAAUUUAAUGGAAAAGUUUCACUGUUGGUUGUAAUUGUCCUAGACAUUGAACUACUAGGAUUGGUCUCCCAUGAAUGGAUUAUGUCAUCUAUUUCAUAUUCUUCAUCACCAUGGUCUUCAAUAACAUUUCCACCUGAAGCUUUAAUCAACUCCAGCUCCAUUGCUACUUGUUUCAUGGUGGGUCUUUUCUUUCCAUUAAGAUUCAAGCAUCUUUUUGCUAGAAAAGCCACAACUAUAAUCUCCUGCUCUGGACCAACCUUCACUACCAUUGGAUCAAGAAUGUUAAAUAAGGAAUUCUCCUGCAUUGAAUGCAAAAAAUAAGAUACCAAGCUUCUCACUGGCUCUGAUUGUUCUGCAGAAAUGGGUUUUUGUCCUGUUAAAAGCUCAAUAAGAACAACUCCAAAGCUAUAAACAUCACUCUUCUCCGUAAAUUGACUUGACCAAAAAUAUUCGGGAUCCAUGUAUCCAAAAGUUCCUUGCACCCGAGUGGUUAGAUGUGUCUGUUCAAGUGCAACUGAUCUUGAAGUUCCAAAAUCUGAUACUUUUGCCCUAUAUUUAUCAUCCAAAAGUAUGUUACUAGAUUUGAUGUCUCGAUGAUAAAUAGGAGCAGAAGCAGCUGAAUGCAAAUAGAACAAGGCAUUGGCAAUUUCAAUCGCAAUUCGUAAACGCAUUUCCCAUGUCAAUGGCAAUUCUUCAUUUUGGUUAUGAAUGAGAUCGUAUAAUGUACCAUUUGGGAUGAACUCAUACACCAAUAGAGGAACUUCAGCUUCUAAACAACACCCUAAAAGCUUAACCACAUUCCUGUGAUUAAUUUGAGAUAAAAUGAUCACCUCGUUAAUGAACUGUUCAACCUUCUUUUCAUCAAAUUUCUUUCCUUCCACCAUUUUGGAUUUCUUAAUAGCCACAAUGCUUCCAUCUAUUAGCAUUCCUUUAUAAACAGUCCCUUGACCACCUUGACCAAGGAUUCGAUUCUCAUUAUAAUGAUUGGUCGCCUUUUCCAUCUCUUUUGAAGUAAAUAACUUAAUUUUUUCAACAUUACCUUCAUUGCUAGACAAAUGUUGUUGCAGUAACAAACCUCCAUUCCUUUUGAAGUAUUUCUGCUUCAGCAUGAUUUUUUGUUUUCUUUUGAAGACUUUGUACAUACUCCAUGUUGCGAGUAGUAGAAAUAGUGUCCCAAUACCAGUACUGCAACCUAUGUAGAUAUAAGAAACAUAGUUAAAAGAUAAAUUUGAAAAAUAAAGUACAUGUUAAAAAACCAUGAAAAUGUUUCGAUAAAGUUUUAUUCAUAUUUGAUAGCCCAAUGAACAAUGAGUGAACCUUAUUGCAUCAUCCAUUGUUUUGAUAUUGAACUUUUACAAAUUUAAUGAUAAAUAACUAUUAUUGCAUCACACAUUCAAAAGUAAAUAUAUUAUUGCUUAAACUAACAUAAUUCAAUAACCAUAAUGAUUCCACUUUAAAAACAAAUACGUACCUACAAUAAUGCUUGUCAAGCUACGCUUAUUUUGAGUCUGUAUUUUAGGCUCGCAACGAAAUCCCGUACUAUUGAAUUCAUAACGAGGAGGGCAAGACUUUGAGGAGCAAUAGUUACUAGGGGUAUUCAAACAAAGCAUGCGGCAAUACUUAUAAUUCUCACAUUUCCCAUCUGUCAUUUAUGAAUUGAAUAAAAAAAAGAUUAUAAUCAUAUAAUUCGGUUAAAGUAUUUGAAAAAGUCCUUCUAUUAUACGGAUUUGAUCAAAUUAGUUCUUAUAUUAUUAAAUGGAUCAAUUUAGCCUCUAUACUAUUAAAAAAAUAAAAAAAAGGUUUAAAUUAUAACAUUGUUAACAUUUACUACAUAAAAAAUAUCUUGAAAAUUAUUUUUUUUCAAUUUCUGUUCAAUUUCAAACAACAUAUUUCAUUUGCAAACCAUAAAAACUUUAAAAAUAAUUAACUCUAUUAAAGAGUAAAUGAAUUUUUAAAUACUAAAUGUUAAGUAUAUUCUAAUUUAGCCUUAUUUAAUUUUUUUUAUAGUAGAGGGAUUAAUUUGAUUAAGUUCUAGUGGGACUCUCAGGUAUAUUUAAUUAUUUUUAAUAGUAGAGAGAUUAAUUUGAUUAAGUUCUAGUGGGACUCUAGGUAUAUUCAUUCGUAUAAUUCAAUAGAUAUUAAUUUAGUAAUGCAAACCAAAAUAGAAGUUAUUUUGAUAUCUAAUUUCAUUUUCCUUUUUGUUGGUUCAAAUUAUGCUUAGGAGUAUUCUAGCAAUAUGUACGCAGAACCAUUAUUUAGUUGAUUGAGAUUUAGUUAAAUUAGCAUUACUCUUAAUUAUUGUAACAGUUAAAAUGAGUUCAAAUGUGAUUAAAUUUGAAAGUUAAAUACAAUUAUCAAAAACAAAAAACAAAAACGUAUAGUAGUUUUGUUUAAGAGGGAUGGAUAAUUUUUUAAUAUAUAUAUUGAAGGUUAAUAUUUUGACAAUUCAUUCACUGAAUUUAAUAUUUUAUUCAUAUAGAUCGUGCAUGUCAAAUUUGACGUAAAUUAAAAAUUUCCAACCUUUCAUUUUAUGUAAAAAAUAUUCAGUCUAUGAAUAUAUUGAGUAUUGUAGAUCAAUAUGAUAGAGAUAUCGGAUGGGUUCGAAAAUUUACAUGCAUGACAAAUACAAUUAUAUCUAUAAAUUCAACGGUUGGACUGUUAAAAUAUUAAUCGUAUAAAGAGAUAUGAAAGAGUGUAAAACUGAUGUUGUUUUAAAAAAAUUUAUGUAACAAUUUAUUUAUUAAAAAAUGAUAUAAAAAAUAGGAGUUUGAUUGAAAUGAUAAAGUUAAGAUAUUAGCUAUCAUGGUGCCUUUGUUCAAAUUUCAUUACACUCAUUUUUCUAGAUUUUACAUAAAUUAUAAAAUAACAAAAAUACUCUCAUAAUAAUAUUUGUUCUUGUAUAAAAGUAAUAAAUUUUCAUAAUUUCUCAAUCGAGUUGAAACUCAAUUGAUGAGUGACACCAAAUCAAUUAACCUAUUAAAGAAUAGUACUGUUUUAAGGCACACCCAUGAUGUGAGCAGAAAACAUUAUGUAAUAAACAUAUUGAAUUAAAGCUUAUAUAAGAAUCAAAUGAAUCGUAAUGAUAAAGUUAAAUAUUAAAAUUUAUUGUGUGAAAGAUUCAAAUGUCACCAUGUUAGAUUUAUUAUGAAUUUUAUAUAAAAAAAUAGAAAAAAAAUAGAAUACCCUUAAAAUAAUAUAAAUUAACUUGUAUAUAAAAAUAUUUUAAUAAUUUUUCGAUUGAAAUAUACCUAUAAGCAAAUAUAAUAUAGAUAUAAGAAAAAAAAGUUCCCAAAAAAAAACAUUAAUUCGUACCUUGGCAUGAGCUCGAAUCACCGAAAUCAUUGCUGUAGCAUACACAUAGAUGUUUAUAGCUCAACUUCGACCAACAAUAUUGACCAUCGGAUGUACAAUAAGUGUCCGAGCUAUCAUUCAAAUGGCACACUCCAAAUAUUGGUGUGCCCCAUUGCAGUCGUGUUGGGACAUACGCCCUAUUACUUAUAUCAAACUUCAGAUCAUAGUCAUAAGAAAUCAUGGAAGCAAACCCGCAUGAUCUUUUUCUCCUAUAAUCACUAUUACUCAUGUUUACGUAGAAUGAUCUGAGACCUUGAGGAAUAUUAAUAAGACAACCAUCAGUAGAGGAAGUCUCGUUAUUAAUCCUACAACUUGGUUGCAAACAUCCGCCUAUAGGAUUAUAUGUUUUGUUGAAAAUAGUAACCAAAUUACCGCAACCUGAAGACCAAAGAUUGUUGAAGUAAUUUGAGUAGUAAAAGCGGGUGCCUGUUAGGUUGAGACUCAUCCCAUUAUGAUCGUUUUUGCGACAGUUAAAGUAAGUUAUUGGAUGGUUGAUUGUGACAGUGCCGUACCAAAAAUCAAAGUCUAAUAUUUUUAGAUUUGUGCCACUUAUGUUUAGGAAAGGCCCUUUUUUUCCAUUGGUGGUUUUGUCGCAAAUUACUUUAAACCAGUCUUCGGGAUCAUCUUGGCCCUUCACUCUAGAGGGUGGGGGGUAGUGAAAAGUAACAUUCCCACAGGACUCUACCUUGUAAGUGUAGAAGUUGAGGGAUACGCAUCCUGCGGGCUUAGAAAAAAGGAAGUAAAUUGUAAAAUCUACUAAAUGUAUGUACACCCAAUAUUUGUAGGAAAUAAAAGCAAUGUGUCAUUCAAUAAACAAAAAAAUAUAGUUAUCUAAAACGAAGCUACAUAUGAAAAGUGUUACUCUUAACUAAAUUUUUUUAAUUAAGUUUAUGUGUUAUUUGUCACAUUAAAUUCAAUAAAACUUUCUUAUUAUCAAUAUAAAUUUUAUGGUUGAAUUUGAUGUCAUACAAUAUUUCUAAUUAAAAAUAUGUUUAAGGGUGUAAAAAGCCCUCAAAAUUAAAAAAUGAAGAAGUAAUUAAGCUUUUACUUUUUUUUUACUCAAUUAGAUACUUGAACUAUCAAAAUGUAUCAAAAAGGUCUUUUAACCGUUAAAGUUAACUGCCCUAAUUUUUUUUCAGUUAAAGCCACCAUGUGUCAUAACCAUAGCGUGAUAUGUGACAAGAAUGAUAAAAAAAAUAGAAAUCAAUUAAAGAUAUAAAAAUUAUUAAAUUUUAAUAAAAAUUUUUAAAAAUUAGAAAAAUAAAUUGUAAAAAAUUGUAAAAUUUAAUAAAAAUAAUUAAAAUUUUAUCAAAUAUAUAGAAAUAUAGAAAAAUCAUAAAAUUUUGUAAAGUCGUAAGAAAAUUAUAAAAAUGUAAAAGAAAUAUAAAAUUUUUUAAAAAUUAUAAAAAUUAUUGUAUCUUGAUUUUAUAGCUAUUAAAUUUUAAUAAUAUUUUAUUUCUUUUAUCAUUUUUUACCACAUGUCACGCCAUGUUGUGACACAUAAUAACUUUAACCGAAAAAAAGAAAAAGAAAUUACGGACUAUUAACUUUAAUGGUCAACUAUUAAGGUUAACUUUCAAAUUUUUUUUAUGGAACUAAUGAUUCAAUUUUCAAAAUAAAUGGACUUCAUUUAAAACAAAAUUGUGUAAAUCAUGAAAUGAAUGGAAACAUAAUAAAAUGUAAUAAAAAAUAAAAAUGGAUAAAACGAACAUGAAGCCAGCGGUGUCCUUAGUCCAACAAAUUACUAAACUACACCUUUCUGCCUCUCUCAAAAGAAUUAAUAAUUUAGCAUAAACACUUUAACCCUUGAAUAAAUAUGUAAAUUUACAUUUUUAAACUCCUCUAAAAAAUAAUAAUUUAAUCUCAUUUAAGUAUUAAUUUAACUGAAUUAAAAGAAGAAAAAUGAAAGCCAAGCAAUUGAAAUGACAGCGCGUGACUGACCUCCUUCACCGCAAUAGCUGGAAUUCCAGUUGAGCACGGCGGGAACAUGCGUGGUUCCAUUAUUGAUGCCACUGGGUAAUGGGUAAGCAUCACGGAAAGAGUACUUGCUAAAGAUGAAAGCAGAUGCGCAUCCUUUGCUGUCAGGAUACAUGGCUCUCAUUUUUACGGUAUAGGAAGUGAGAUUUGCAGUAAUUUCAGUAAAGCAGCCAGAUUCAGAAGCAACAUCGUCACACCUUGGUUGACUGCAGCCGCCAAGUGAAUCAGCUUCGCUACGUAAAAUAGUAGCCCAAUUUCCGCAACCUACUGACCCGAAAUAAUUCAUAUCACUUGAGAAGAAAAAAGGAGUGCCUGAGAGAUUGACCCUCACACUAGCCUCGUUUAUACGAUCACAAUUAAAGUAUGUAACUGGAUAGCUGAUGAGAAUGGCGUUUGAAUAUAAGGAUUUUCCAAGUACCUCCAGAUCGAUGCCCUUUACGGUUAUGAAAGGCUUGGCCCCAUUGAGGGUUUGGUUGCAAGUUACACUAAACGAAGGAUGAGUAUAGCAUCUGCUGUGGAUUCCAAAAGGGGAUGGAAUUGUAAUAUUUCCACAUACUUCUUUACCACAGGGAGGUUCUUGAGACUCUGCUGCUUGUAAAAUUGGGCACAACAGGAAGAGGAAGAGGAGUAGGAGAAUGAAGUAAAGCGGUAAGUGAAAACCCAUUUGCGUUGUUAUUUUGUUUGAGGGAAAUGAAUGAAGAAGUCACUAAUAGAUUUUAAAGAAACAAAUGAUGCUUGACUGAUAAGCAAAUGAAAAGUCUUUGUUCACACUUUCCUUGAAAACUUUUAAAUAUUUUAAGUCAUAACGUAAAAUAGAAAGAUUGCUAUUAUAGAUUAAGUACUCAUUAGUUCAAUUCUACUGACAAGUGAAUGAAAGAAAUGAAAGAAAACUUGUCUAAGUAUUAAAUCUAGCUCAUACAAAAUUAAAAUCAAAUGAUACAACAGUUGAAGAUACUUGUGAUUAUAGUAAAUUUUAAUCAGUUUUGUACUUUAUUUUUUAAUCAAUCAAAUAGAUAUAUUUAUUAUUAAUUGUUAUGUAUAUACGAUCCUGGUUGUCAAUAAAGGCAGAAGGGAGGAGAUAGCCCCUUGCCCAAAAUAAAGAACAUUAUCCUUAAUGAGUGAUAGCAAAGGUGAUUGUUGUUUACAACAACUUGAGAAGAAAUUUUCAAGUAUUUUCAAUGGAAAAGUAUAUACACAAAAUGAUAGAAAAGGCGUUGGGCCAAAAUUAAAUCAACAUCUCUAAAUGGUUAAAUCAAAUUAAAGAUGGAAUCGUCAUGACAUCAACAUCUUAUUACUAAAGGAAAUAACUUGAAGCCAACGCCAAUUUGUAAUCAUGUUAGUAUAUAUGAGUAAUAAUUUUGUUAAUUAAUUAUCGAUAAUUUUUCUAAUUAAUUUUAAAUUAGCACUUAGUACACCUACAUCAUGUUCUGGGUGCUCCGUACGUUUUUACUAAGUAAUGAUUUUCCAAUUUCGAUUUAAGACAAAUUGCAAUUUCGGAUUCAAAUUAUAUAAGAAAUUUUCCCUUCUAAAAAAAAUUGAAAACACCAAAACUUAAUCCAAUUUAAUUGCUAAGAAAAAUGGCUCUGACGCUGAAUUAAGCCUAUGAAAUUAGCAUAAAUUGAUAAAUUUUCUUUGCAAUUGUUUGGAAAUAAAAACAAGCAGGUGAUUGGCUCAUGUUGGUUUUGGUGAGAAAGUAAAAUAGCAGCCAACAUGCAUGCAUUUGUUUUUGUGGAAAAUUAAAUUAAAACCAAGGAGGAAUCAUUAUCAACAAAUAUGGACCAUAAGAAGAUUCAUUCCUUUUAUUAUAUAUUAUUCAUAUUAACAACAUAGAAAUUUCCAUGAAAAAGUAAGUUCCAUGACAUCCACGGAAGCAAUGACAACAAUUGCAAAAAGACCUUGACUCCUCUAGAAAUCCAUCAGUUUGGAAACUAUAACGUUUAUGCCACAACCAGAUAAACAUUUUAGAAAUAUCUGCUCUCCAAAGUCAUCUUUGUUCAUCUUCAAUUUCGUCCUUAUAUAGAAAAAGAAAUGAUAGCCCUUGAAAUCCUUAAUAUCCAAACCAUAUUUAAGCAUAAGAAAUUUGCAUAGGUGACGAGAAAACGGAAUCUGAACUUAAUGGGCAAUUUCGUCACAGUCAAGCUAAAGUUUAACAAUUUAGGAUCUUUUAUCUAUAUGGUGUUCCACUUUUAUAUAUGUAUAUUUCCAAGUUUUUCAAUCUGAAUUCGGUUCAAAGAAAAGGAAAUUACUUUAAAUUUGUAUAAUUAAUUGGAUUCAAAAAUAUUUUUUAAUAAUUUGGCAUGCCACAUUAGUAUACUUUCACAUAACUUCUUAUGAAUCUCACAUAACACAUUAUAUGUCAAUUUCUCAUGAAUUUCGUAAACACUGUUAAAUGGAAUAUGUCCACCACCUGCUUAAAUUGAAUUAUUAUAUAACUUAUCCAUUGCUUAGCAAAGGUUGCAUUGCCUACACUUUGGUUCAUCAUGUGCCCACCCCACCCAUUUUAGAUGUUCAUUUUACUAUUUACUUUGAAAAAGAAUAAUCAUCCCAUUUAUUUAUUAAUGUUUUGAAAGAAAAUUCUGUCUAUCCAAUUUAUUGAUGAUGCAUAAAAAUAAUUCCUUAAAGUUUUACUAAUAUAUUUUAAAAAUAAUUCUUUUUGUACGUAUUAUAAAUGUGAAAGGGUACGAAACUCAUGUUUGAAGUCUUGCUAACUCAAUCACUUACUAAAACCAAAUUAAAACAAUUAAUUUUAUAGCUAUUAAAUUUUAAUAAUAUUUUAUUUUUUUUAUCAUUUUUUGCCACAUGUCACGCCAUGUUGUGACACAUAAUAACUUUAACCGAAAAAAAGAAAAAGAAAUUACGGACUAUUAACUUUAAUGGUCAACUAUUAAGGUUAACUUUCAAAUUCUUUUAUGGAACUAAUGAUUCAAUUUUCAAAAUAAAUGGACUUCAUUUAAAACAAAAUUGUGUAAAUCAUGAAAUGAAUGGAAACAUAAUAAAAUGUAAUAAAAAAUAAAAAUGGAUAAAACGAACAUGAAGCCAGCGGUGUCCUUAGUCCAACAAAUUACUAAACUACACCUUUCUGCCUCUCUCAAAAGAAUUAAUAAUUUAGCAUAAACACUUUAACCCUUGAAUAAAUAUGUAAAUUUACAUUUUUAAACUCCUCUAAAAAAUAAUAAUUUAAUCUCAUUUAAGUAUUAAUUUAACUGAAUUAAAAGAAGAAAAAUGAAAGCCAAGCAAUUGAAAUGACAGCGCGUGACUGACCUCCUUCACCGCAAUAGCUGGAAUUCCAGUUGAGCACGGCGGGAACAUGCGUGGUUCCAUUAUUGAUGCCACUGGGUAAUGGGUAAGCAUCACGGAAAGAGUACUUGCUAAAGAUGAAAGCAGAUGCGCAUCCUUUGCUGUCAGGAUACAUGGCUCUCAUUUUUACGGUAUAGGAAGUGAGAUUUGCAGUAAUUUGAGUAAAGCAGCCAGAUUCAGAAGCAACAUCGUCACACCUUGGUUGACUGCAGCCGCCAAGUGAAUCAGCUUCGCUACGUAAAAUAGUAGCCCAAUUUCCGCAUCCUACUGACCCGAAAUAAUUCAUAUCACUUGAGAAGAAAAAUGGAGUCCCUGAGAGAUUGACCCUCACACUAGCCUCGUUUAUACGAUCACAAUUAGUACUGUAAGUAACUGGAUAGCUGAUGAGAAUGGCGUUUGAAAAUAUGGCUUUUCCAAGUACCUCCAGAUCGAUGCCAUUUACGUUUAUGAAAGGCUUGUCCCCAUUGAGGCUUUGCUUGCAAGUUACACUAAACGAAGGAUGAGUAUAGCAUCUGCUGUGGAUUCCAAAAGGGAAUGGAAUUGUAAUAUUUCCACAUACUUCUUUACCACAGGUAGGUUCUUGAAAUUCUGCUGCUUGUAAAAUUUGGGCAUAACAGGAAGAGGAAGAGGAAGUAAAGCGGUAAGUGAAAACCCAUUGGCGUUGUUAUUUUGCUUGAGGGAAAUGAAUGAAGAUUUAGAUAGGGUUAGUGUAGAAGUCAGGUUUUAAAGAAACAAAAGCAGGGUUAAGUAGCACAAGGAGAUUGUAAAUUAUAUUUCUUAAAGUAGCCCCACUACUGUUUUUCUUUUCUUUUUAAAAUUAGCACCACUAUGUCAAAAUAAAUUAUAAUAUUUUACGUCUAAAUUUAGUAAUAUGAUAAAAAUAUCUUUAUUUAUUUAAAAAGUUCUUUUAACUUGAUGUUUUAAUAUAUUUUAUGUGUUUUUAUAUUUAUCUGGAGUUCUCUCUUAUAAAUAUAUUCAUUUCUACCCACUACGUCAUUCCAACCAGCCUUUAAUCCAUCUUUAUUCGAUCAUGACGAAAAUAAGACAAAAUAAAAAUAUUCAUAUUAAAUUCGAUUUAAUAAUUUCCGCGUAUAAUAUUCUACCGCUAAAUUAUAUUCCUUUACUACCCCAAUCAAGAAAUACAACCAACCGUCAAUGUGCCGUUUCAUUUUGUAUCCCUCCAAUCAUUUCCUGGCAAGUGUAUUAAAAUUAUUUUUAAAAUGAAAUUUGAAAGUAAAGAUUAAAAAAUUAAAUAAAAUUUAAUAAUUUCCAACACUUGUAUCAAAUUAUAGAUAUUAUAUAAAUUACACUUUAUAAAUGAAACUCCAACUCUUAAAUAUUUAAUAAUAUACUGCACAUUUCCUAAAAAAAAACAAUAUACUGCACAUGUUACAAUGCAUUUAAAUGGGACCAUUAAACAUUAAUCUGAUACCAUAAUAUAUAAUUUAUAGUAAAAACAAAGGUACUCAUACUUAUAGCUCAUCAUUUUUAAUGUUUGAGCUGUUUUUAUGGACUGUAGUUGCCCAACACCAUUUGGUCCGCAAGAUGUGAAUAUAUUAUGAAUUGUAUUCUUCAGUGACUUAAUUAUAAAAAUUUAUAAAUUAUUAAUUUAAUUAUUAAUAUUUUUAUCAUUCAAUUAUAAAAAGUUAUAAAAUGGUCAUUUAAUUGUUCAAUUUUAUUUUAUUUUAUUUGUUAUCAAUUGACCAACGUAAAAAUAGAAACAUCUAAAAAUUUAAGAUAAUGAUGUGACUAAACAAAAAUAAAAUUAAAUAAUGUAACUUUUCACAUUGAAUAAAUAAAUAAAUAAUCGUGACAAUUAAUUUACUUUCUUCAUAUAUUAUAUUAUAUUUCACAUAUAAAAGAAUCUUAUUUACUAAGAGUUAAAUUUUUUAUCCUUCUGGAUCCCCUCUAAAAGUAUAAAUGAGAUAUUAAUACUUAUAAAAUUAUUUAAUUUCGACUAAAAAAAUUUUAAUUUAAUAAUCAUUGAAUUGAUCUCUUACCAUCAAUCCAUUCAAAUUACAAAUAUCCUAAUAAACAAAUGAAACCCCAAAGACAAGAAUAUUAAAUAUUUAAUAAUAUACUCCACAUCUUACAAUGCAUUUCAUUAAUAGUACAGACAUCACUUUUAAUGUUUCAGCCGUUUUCAUGGACUACUCGGCCAACACGGAAACAAGUGACUAUAUUAUGGAUAAAGUAUAGUUACUGUAUUCAAUUGUUAUAAAUUUUUGCUUAUUACUUAAUUAUUAAAAGUUAUAAAAUAAUUAUUUAAUUAUUUAAUUUUAUUUUUUGGUCACCAAUUAAUUAAUAUAAAAAUAGAAACACUAAAAAAAUUUAAAAUAGUUAGGUGAUCAAAUAAAAAUAAAAUUAAAUAGUUAAGUGAUCAUUUUGUAACUUUUCCAAGUUGGGUGACAACUAAUUUACUUUAUCCAUAAAUUAUAUCAUAUUAUAUUAUGUUUCACAAGUAAAAGAGCCUUAUUUACUAACAAUCCUUUCUUUUUGUCCUUCUCGGUCCCCUCUCUAUUAGGGGUGUAAAUGAGAUUCUGAUGCUUGCAAGAUUACUUGAGUUUGAUUCUGAAAAAAAUUCGUAUUCAACUCGGUAAUUAUUAAACUGAGCUCAAGCUAUCGAUCAAGUCAAAUUCGAGCUUAGUAAUACUUGACUUAAAUAGCUUGCGAGUCUCAACAAGCUUUUCAUAUUUUUUAUAUUAUUAAGUUACAUAAUUUCCCUUAAUUAUCGAGCUAAGCUCGAGUACAAAAAUUGAUAAACGAGUUUAAUCGAGCUCGAAUUCAAGUAGCCCAGUUAUAUCUCAAGUGAGCUCGAACUUAAAAACAAAUGUUCAAUUAAACUCAAAUUAAGUAUCAAGUUUCAAAAUUUAAAUCUAAUAUUUAAACUUGGCUCGAUUAUACCACUACCCUCUACAAACUAAUCAGUACAGCAAGUAUCUGGCCCCGUAAAAUGUGCAAUGCACCUCAUUUGGAUAAACUAACGUAUUAAUAAAUUUCAUAAUUUUAAAGAUAGGUAACUUUAAAUGAAUAGUAUAUAAUGUGUUUGUAAACAACUAAUUUGGAUUUGCAUGCGAUUCACUAGUUAUUUUUGUGUAUUAAUAUGGUCAUGUUUUUAUAAUAUAUUCUAAGUUUCAAAUAUUGUUAACAUUAAAAGUUAAUUUUUAAAAAUAUAUUUUAAGUUUAAAAAAUUAUUAAAUAUAUAUACUAGUGUCUAUUUUCCUUAUAAUUCGUAUUUCUAAUAGUUUAUUUAACCUAAUUAUAGGUCAAAUUAUACUUAACCUUAAUUUUGUAUUUUUAUUGUAUAUUUACAUAUCCAUGCAUAUUUCAAUUUAGAUUUGGAGCUACAUAUCACGCGAAAAAUUAAUGUAAAAAUAAAGUACAUUUAUACAUGUAUAAUCUUGUAUUAGUAUAUAUCGUAUAAUAAUAUGCUGAAAAUAAAAUAAGUCCAAAUGCAUCGAUGUUGUGAACAAUAAAUAUAAAUGUUUUUAAAAUUAAUGAAUGAAUUAAAUAUAGCAGCAAUGUAUUUUUUAAAGUAACAUGUAUUGUUAAUAUUGUGUUAUCUCGUAUUUAAUAAUUACGUGGUGUCCAUUUUAGGUUUUAUAUUAAAUAAAAUUAAAAAUUAUAAUGAGGAGGAUGCUGGGUAUAUUAACAAAAUAUAUAAAAAUAUUUAUUCCAAUUCUGUUGCUACACUUUUACAAGAAAAUUGCCUUGAAUUAAUUUUUUUAAUAUAGUUAACAGCUAUACGUGGUAGAUUUUUAUUAUGACAAAUGACAGUUUAUAAGUUAUACCACAUAAAAUUUAUUUCCGUUUUUUUGUAAUAUCAUAUUGCUAUAGUGUAUAAUAAUAAUAAUAAUAAUAAUAAUAAUAAUAAUAAUAAUAAUAAUAAUAAUUAGAUAAAAAUAUAACAGCUCAUUUUUCGUGAAGUCGGAAUAGUAGUUUCGGGACCACAAAUCCGAGUCCGGAAGAAAAAUUAUUUUAAUAUUAUUUCAUGGUCUACAUUGUGAUUGAAAUAUCGCAUGAAAAAUUCGUAAAGAAAUUUUAUCAGUUGCAUGUCUAAUUAGAUGAAAAGGACCAAAUUGCAUAAAAUGUAAAAGUUGAGUUCUAGUAGCUAUAUGUAUCAAAUAACUAUGGAAUUCAAAGUUUGAGGUCCUUAUAUGGAAAAUAGACCAUUAAGAGGAGUUAGUAAUAAGUAUGGUUAGUCAUCAUUAGAAAAUUUAAUAAAGAAAAGGACUAAAUUGGAAAGUAAAAGAUAAAAAGAUGAUAAAUAAUAAAAUAAAAGAAAAUAUCAUCAUAUUAUCAUCUUUCCUAAAUUAAAAAGAUGGAAACCUUAGCCAUGGAAACCUAAGCUCAAGCCAACUUAUUUUGCUUAAUUAGGUAAGUAUUCUUAACCCGUUUUUUAUGAUUGUUAUAUUUCCGAGAUUGUAAUAGCUUAAUCUAGCUAUCUCGGGAAUUAAUUUGUAGAGUUAUCAAAGUAUUAGGGUUUUGCCAUGGAUGAGUAUGUAUGAAUUAUGAAGUUUUAUGGUAGAAAAUGAAAUGUUGUUGAUAGAUAAACAACUUUUGUAAAGAGAAAUUUGAUGAAAUUAUGAUUUAGGGACUAAAUUGAAAAGAUGUAAAAGUUAUAGAAAAAUUCUAAAUUUUGUGAAAUACAUUGGUUGAUAAUGUUACAUGUAAAAAUCGAUUAGGUUUGGAAUAAGGAUUAAAUUGCAUAAAUUUUAUUUUCCGAGCCUAGGGACGAAAUUAGAAUUAAUUAAAAGUAAAUUUUAUUAAAUGCAAAUUUUAUUAAAUUGAUGUUAAAUUCAUUCGUAUAGAUCCGAAUAGAUCAAAUACGAAUUUAGAUCGUGGAAAAGAAAAAGUAUCGGAUUAGUAGACAACAAAGAAACGUGCAAUUGUCAAGGUAAGUUUGUGUAACUAAAUUGUAUAUCUAUAUGUUUGAAUUAAAUGUUGUGUAUGUGGAUGGUGUAAUUGCCAAGUAUGAAAUUCGUAUAAAUUGCUACGUGUAUUUAUUAAUCACAUAACCAACAAUGACCGACAAGUAUUAAGUCUCAUUUGAAUAAAUGAAAUUCGAUGGAUACGGGGUUCCCAAUUGGCUGUGAUCCUGCAUGUGUUACAGACACACCAUAGCUCUUACGAGUGUCCCAAUAUUUGGCUCUCACGAGCUUUCUGUUAAUAGCUCUUCGGAGCAUCUCGAUUGAUUGUGAUCCUGCAUGUGUUUUGGAUACACCACAGCUCUUAUGAGCGUCCCAAUAUAUGGCUCUCCAGAGCUUCCUGUUAUCUGGUUCUUGCGAGCUUCCCGUUAUGGCUCUUAUGAGCUUCUCGAUAAUUAGCUCUUCAGAGCUUCUCGAUAACUAGCUCUUUUGAGCUUCCCAUUAUAUGGCUCGAUAGAGCUUCCCGCUUAUGUGCUCGUAUGAGCAUUCCUGAAUAUGAAUUGACGAAUUACAGUUUUGUACACUUUGUGCAUGUACUACCUGUGUAUCCAUCGAAAUUUUAAAUGAUUCAAUGGGAAAAAUCCUGACAUGAGAAAAUAUGAGUUCGAAAUGAAUCAUUACUUGUAUAUACAUAAAACACAUGGAAAUUUGAUAUUUGAUGAGCUUAUACAUGUUUCUUGGUAUUCAUGUGAAAUACAUGACUAGCAUGUUUGAUGAGGUUAUGUGUUUAGGCUAUUAGCCAAAUUUCUUUGGAUGUAUUUUGUAUACUUACCUUAAAUAUAAAUAAAUGGUAAGUUAAUUUCCGUUAUACAAACUUACUAAGUAUUAAGUGCUUACUCUGUUUCAUUUCCUCUGUUUUAUAGUAAUUUGGAAGCUUAAUUUGGGUGGAAGCUUGUUGGAGCAACAUCACACCAUCCUUCGGCUCAUUUUGGUAUAAAUAGCAAAUUACUUUUAGUUAUAAUGACAUGUAUAGGGUAAUUUGGCCAAUGUUGGCUUAAAAGUAUUUUGUCGUAAAUAGACAUUGGAAUGGCUUGAGUUAGAUAUAUUUGAUAUGUAUAUAUGUGUGGCUUAUCAUGUUUGUUGUGUUGAUAUGAUUAUGAAUGGAUAAUUUAUGAGUAUGUUGAUGAAUGGUUUGAAAUAAUAUGAUUGGAGAAAUAUGCAUAUAUAUGUUUAUAUGGUCAUUUAGGUAAGAUUGAAUACUUAGGCAUAUAGGGUGUUAUGGUAUGUAUUGUAUUGGUUGGUGAAAGUGUUAAAGUGUUAAUGGAGGUGGAAGACAAAUUGGGUGAGAAAAGUGGCCUUAGAAAUGACCUAUUUUCGUUCACAUGGGGCAUGUGUCUCAGCCGUGUGUGAUACACGACCUAGCACAUAGGCGUGUAGUUUGGCCGUGUGUCCCCUGCAUCUUAAAAAUUGAGAAACAGAAUGCUCAAAAUAUUCACACAGCCUAGUACACGGCCAUAUGGCUUGGUCGUGUGACCCAAAUUAGAGAGAACCCUAAAUUGGUCACGGGAUGGGACACGGUCGUGUGCCUUACUUCGAAUGCCCACACGGCCUGGCCAUAGGGGCAUGAGUCCCCUGCACCUAGGCAAAAUUUUUAAAGUUUCGCAAAAAAUUCUCUAAGCUCUCCGUUUAGUCCCGAUUUGUUUCUAAUGUGUAGUUUGGACUUCGAGGGCUCAAGUGAGGGACAAUAUGAUUGGUUUUGAUUUGAUUUCUGACAUGGGUGCUAAAUGAAAUGAAAUGUCUGUAUUUGAUUCGUAAGUUUCGGUAAUGCUCCGUGACCUUGUUUCAAUGACGGAUAUGGGUUAGGGGUGUUACAAAAGAUGAGUACUUCAUAGAAAUAAAUAAUUUAAAUACAAGAGUAAAAAAUAUUGUAAUUGACAUGUAACAUACAAAAAAUUUUAUAAUGAAAUAUAUAAAUAAAUUUUAUAAUUAUAAUUGUAAAAAUUUAUAUAACUUAUUAAUCAAAUAAAAAAUUUAUAUAACAUAAAAGAACGGGCCUAACCUCUUCCAACAGAUCAUCUCCAAGAUUUGAGCAUGUGCUCUCUCUUUCAAAUUGCAAAAGACUUUACCACUACUCUCAACACUUAUUGAUAGCAUAUAAAAAAAAUUAUAUAUUUGUAUGAUGAAAAGUAAUUUGAAAAUACAUGAAAUUAAUUAAUUUUCAUCAUAAAAUAUUAUAAUUGUAAUGCCCAAAAAUUUUAGUGGUCAUAGUUGUUAGAUUCUAUCAUUAGCAAGUAUUUAUUUCAAUGGUUAGAGGCUCUAGUUAUAUGUUAGGGUCUUGGGUCUAAAUCUCAAUUCAAUCAUUUUUGUUCAUACGCCUAUCUGAUUUAAAAUAAAAUAUAUUUUUGUGUCAAAAUAAUUUUGGAAUGAAUCUGAAAAUUAAAACUGUAAUUCUAUUUUCUUUAAAGUUACACGCUGAGUUAUGAAAACUCACUUUUUGUUUGUUUAUCACUUUCAGGUAACCCUUAGACUUAGGUGGGUCGGUGCGGCGGGAGCUCGAUCAUAACUAUAUUUUCAUAAAUUUAAUUUAUUUAAAUUUUGGUUUAAGAGUUUUGUAAAUUUCGAACUGUCUGGAAAUUUUUUGUGGUUUUGGGUUUUGGACUUUAAUUUCGUUUUUCGCAGUCACCGCUUAAAUGUUUUAUUGACAAGGUUUGUUUUUCUGCAAACAAUGGGUUUCAGAUUAACAGCUGAGUUUCUUAAAAAUUUAAUGUUUUAAGAAUUUGCAAAGUAUUCUUUUUAUUUAGCAAAUAUAAAAAACCAACGUUCCCAAUUUAAUUGUUAAAUUAAAUAUGUUUUCCUAUAAAAUGGGUUCUUAAGUAACAAAAGUUUAUGAUGAUUUCCAAAAUAAUCGGGAACUAGAUUUACAACUAUUUCUUUUACGUAGCAUUCUCAGAUUUAGUCAUAACAUCUAGGUCGGGUUUGAAAUGUUACAUUUAGUAGUAUUAAAGCCAGGUUGCAAACCUCUGGCUGUGAAAUUUUGGGUUCAAAAUUGUUUUCGAGAAAACCAUUUUUUUAAAUAUAGUUUAUUUUUGUAUGAAUCUGAAAAGGAAUUUUGUGAAAUACCGAGUCUUUGGAACCGAUUCUAUAAGUACUCCUCACUCAAAAAUACUUUAGUUUAGGAAACUCUGAAACGAUUAAAACCAUAUUAAGAUAGAGACUGAAACAUUUCUGAGAUUUCUUCUAAUAAUUAUUUGAGGCAUAAAAUAUCUGCUAAUAAAUACUUGAACUGUAACACUCUAAAACCUGACCUAAAAGUUUAGACCGAAUCUCGGAGGUUACAUUGGCCACCUAAAGUGGCGAAAAUAAAAACUCUAUUAUAAACAUAGAAAAUCCUUUGCUAAACUAUCUUGCCAUAAUUUUUAGAAAGUUAGUUAACACUUAGUUAAAUUUUGAAACAAAGUUUAAUUGGCAUUAAACGCAAGUCGGAAAUAAACCAAAUGGAAUUCCUUGAUAGUUCCAAAAGCAUCAAAUUUUGUCAAUCACAAACCAUAAUUCAAAACCUGUGAUAUAACGAAACUUAUAAAUUGUUUAAAACCGUAACAUCUAGUUGAUCGAAAAUCCAAACUCAACCCAUACCACAAUUUUUAUAAUCUUUCCUACAAACCAUUUGAAAAUAACGACUGAAAUUUAAGUAGCAUCAUUUAAACCAAACCAAACACUUAUCAUCACGAGACCUCUGGCAUGCCGAGUCCAGCUUUCGAACAUGAAAAGCACCUGAAAGGAAGAACACUACAAUGAGGUAAGCUACGUGAGCUCAGUAUGAACCCGAAAAAUAAAACAGAUGACAAAAGACGGAGUGACACAAUAAAUAUUCCAGACAAGUAUAUAUAUAAAUUACUUACGGAAAUCUCAAAGCGGUAAUCCAGUAUACAAAAAUGUAUUCAAAGCAUACCAAAGCACAUAUUAAUUAACACACUUAUUAUAUUAAAUUAACGAUAUCACCAAUAUCCCAAUGCUCACAUAAUCAGAUAUAUAUUCAGAUGCAUAACGAAUGUAAUGAGUCAAAAACCCACCCCAACCAUCCGAACACCAUUUCGUCCCCCCUGCACACCACAAUAGGGACAUGUUGGACCCAGCCAUCCUGUACACCAUAUUGGACCGUAGUAGGCCCGUCCACCUUCCACACCCUAUAUGUGGAACUGAGUCACUCAAAUAAUAAUAUGCAACUGAGCUGACAUAUGUAAAGUUGUGUGGUAAACCGUUGUACAGAAGUAUUGCAGUUAAAUUGCCAAAUCAGUCUUCUAUCUUUCCAUAAGCAAAUCCCAAAAUUUUCAUGCUAAUGCAGUAUUGCACACAUUACACAAACAAACUUACAGAAACUAACAUUCACAUUUCCAGUUGAACAAAUUCAGAGUUGGUUAUACUUGCAUUCCAAUACUAAGUUAUGAUAGCAACAAUAAACUCAAAUUUAUUCAUUACAUAAAUGAACAAUUAAGUUAUAACCCACAAAUACACAAACCCAAACUUGACCGAGUCAUAAACACACUUAUCAAGGCUUAACCGAGGGUCAGAUUACACAAAAACAUAAAAUGAGACCGUUUAUGACUCAGAACAAAAAUUUACGAAACAGUACCACAUAGUAGUAUGCCCCGACCAUGUGGAAGAGUCAAGGCAAUCUGAAGAACAACAUGGCCAUGCGAAAGAGGCACACAUCCAUUGGAAGAAACACACGACCGUGUGAAGGAGACACACGACCAUGUGUUCGAGCUGCAUGGCCGUAUGAGUAGCCCGUGUAACUUAUUGUCCAAGAGUGCCAAUUUAAGGAACAGAGUAGACACGAACGUGUACAAACUCACGCACCUGUGUGGCUAAGGGACACGGUCGUGUGUCCAAGGUAUAUGCCUGUGUAAAAAUUGACAAAAAUCCAAAUAAUAGCCACACGACCGUGUGACACUAAAAAAAAGUCUAAAAUCUCUAAUUCGUGAAGUCACACGAUCGUGUGGACUGCCGUGUGUGACAUACACCCGUGUAGCCACCCGUGUAGUCACAAAUCCACUCCAAAAUAGGAUAAAAUCAUAGUUUCACAAUAGCAACGCAAUCCCUAAUCACUAAUGGUUCAAAAACACAUUUUAAAGCGGAACCCCGAGUGUCACGAACUGAUCGAUUUGCCCCUAAUCCACCAAUUCUGAAAUCGCAUAAGCCAAUAUGCUAAUUUAUAAGCAAUAACCAAAACAGUACAAACAAAUCGGCUAAGAAUAACCUAAAACUUAGAACGAAGUAAUUAAACAACAUAACACUUACCCGAUUCACAUCUAAUUAAAUGAAACACAUAAGGACAGUCAAUCAACAAUGACAAUAAUAAACCUAAAAUUAAUUUGAAGAACAAAAGUGCAAUGGUUCAAAUAUACCAAAAAUGAAAGUAAGAAUGGAGAAGGAACGAAAAGAGAAUUCACGUGUAAGAGGGGGAGAAGAGAGAAGAGUAACGUGGGAAAAAGAUUUUGAGAGAUAACUUCCUUUUUUAGAUUAAAAAUUAAAUAAAAAUAAAAACAACUAAUUUAGCAUUUAAAACAAAAAAAAAGUAAAACUAGAAUAAAAUUAAUUAUUCAAAGCACACAUGAGGACUCGAACUUGGGACCCAAAAGUAAACUAACACACACUCAACCUCCGAACCAGUAGGCUCAUUCUGAUAUUAAAAGGCGACAAUAAACCCAAUUGCUCAACCUACUCAUUUACCCUAACAACAAACCUCAAAACUUUAAACCCUAAAUUCUAAGAUGUUACAGGGACUAAUAUAUAAAACUUCAGAAUAUAGAUACUCUAUAAAAAUGAUGAACACUCGUGGAUCACGUGAAUGCAGUACCUGUGGGUGUGGCAAACACCGUAGAGGGGCUCAACUGAGUCGUCCUCGAUGGGUAAUAUUCCCAAUUUAGAUACGAGUAAGACGCCGGCUAUACCUACUGUUGAAACCGGGUCUCAAAGUCGCUCGGCUGAGGACGGCGCAUUAUCUCAGGCCAUGUUGAGGGUUUUAGAGAGGGUCGCUGAGCCUUAUUCAGGAUUUGAAAGCUGUGGGUCAGUCACUGAAUGACUCUAGUCCAAUGGCGCUGAGUUGUUUAGAGGUGUUACUAAAGUCGUCCCUACGGUGGUCGAGUAUUGGAUAGAGGCCACAGAGAUAAUUAUGAAUGACAUUGACUGCACCCUCAAGCAAAAGUUAAAGGGUACAGUAUCUCUACUUCACAAUGACGCAUAUCAGUGGUGGUUAAUGGCUGAGAAAGGUACUCAGCCAGAUUGGAUAACUUGGGAUCUGUUUAAGAGUACCUUCUACAGUAAAUAUGUAGGGGCGAGUUAUGUGGAUGCUCGUAGAUGUAAGUUUAUGAACCUUACCAGGGGGAUAGGACUGUGGUUGAACAUUAGGCCAAAUUGUUUAGACUUAGUCGUUAUGCUCGUUUGAUGGUGUCAAUUGAGUAUGAAGUUUAUUCGCUUCGAAGAAGGAUUAAGGGGUAAUCUGAGGGUUUUGAUAGUUCCACAAAAGAAGCAAAACUUUGUCGUCUUAGUGGAUAAUGUGAAGAUCACUGAGGAGGUUAAGUGCGUUGAGCGCGAAAAUAGGGAGCGUGAAAGGGUUAAGAAUAAGAGGGAUUCAGAGCCCUCUAGUUCUGCUCAGAAGCCUAAGAAACGGGCUAGAUCUGAUGGGCCUUCAAGGAUUGGGGUUCCAGUUACUCCUACUGUGGCUCAGCCGUGUAGGGACUGUGGUAGAUGCCAUCCGGAUGAAUUUUAGAGGAGGUUAGGAGCAUGUCUAUGAUGUGGGUUGAUAGAGCACCGUAUCAGGGAUUGCCGAUAGCGUUCUAAUCAAAUGUAAGAUCCAGCUCCGGGAUUUGUGCAGCCUCAACGGGAAGUUCAACAGUCUCCUAAGGGCCAUGGUUCGGCCAAGGGUGGUAACGGUAUGGUUGGAGGUUAGAGAGCAAUGGAUAGAAGUGCUAAUUAGACUGAGUCGAGGUAGCCUGUAUUGGUUUAUGCUACUAGACGUCGUAAGGACAGAGACGUUGCUUAUGUUAUUACCGGUAUAUUUUUUAUUCAUAUUGCCCCUAAUUUUGCAUUGAUAGAUAUAGGGUCAACAUAUUCCUACGUAGCUAGCUCUGUUUCUGUAAACUUAGGGAUUUUUGUUAAGAACACUGUCGGAGAAAUUAUUGUACUAAGUUCAUUGGGUCAAUUAGUUAUUGUUAAUAAAUUGUAUAGGAACGUAUUUUGGAAACUCAAGGGGUUGUGUUUCCAGCUAAUAUGAUGGAGCUACCAUUUGAGGAAUUCGAUUUGAUUCUGGGAAUAGACUAGCUCGUGGAGCAUCAGGUAGUUUCGAGAUCAGAGAAUGAUGUGGAGGUGGUUAUGAUCGAUGACCAUCGGGAUUACUUGUCCAAUAUGAUCUCUGCUCUUGUGGUCAAAAAGUUGGUUUGAAAAGGGUGUGAAGCAUAUUUGGCUUUUGUGACUGACUUAGCUUCUGUGGGUUCAUCGAUUAGGGACAUUUGAAUGGUUAAAGAGUUUUCGAAUGUUUUUCCUGAGGGUUACCGAAUUUGCCUCCGGAUCAGGAGGUCGAGUUUGGUAUUGAGCUUCUAUCGGGUAUAGCUUCGGUGUCCAUCACUCCUUAUCGUAUGGCACCGAAAGAGCUUAUAGAGUUAAAAGCUCAGCUUUAGAAACUCCUUGAUCGAAGGUUUAUCCGUCUCAAUAUGUCUUAUUGAGGGCACUAGUUUAAUUGUAAAGAAGAAUGAUGAUAUUAUGAUUAUGUGUAUCGACUACUGAUAGUUGAAUAAGUUAAUGGUAAAGAAUAGGUACUCACUUAUGAGAAUUGACGAUUUGUUUGAUCAAUUUCGUGGGGCUUUUGUGUUUUCCAAGAUAGAUAUCCGUUCUGGGUACCAUCAGCUCAAGGUUAAGGAGGUCGACAUUCAAAAGACUGCUUUUAGGACUCGUUAUGGGAACUAUGAGUUCCUAGUCAUUCCUUUUGGUUUGAUGAAUGCUCCGAUUGCAUUCAUGGAUCUUAGGAAUGAGUUUUUCAACUGUACUUGGAUCAGUUCAUUGUGGUCUUCAUAGAUGACAUUCUGGUAUACUCUAAGACUGGAGAUGAUCAUGAUGAGCAUCUUAGAGUAGUUCUUCAAAUACUUUGGAAGAAACAGCUCUACUCUAAGUUGAGCAAAUGUGAAUUCUGGUUGAAGGAGGUGACUUUUCUGGGGCAUGUGGUUUCUGCGAAGGGGAUCCGAGUUGGUCCUAGGAAAAUUGAGGCUGUGCUUGAGUGGAAACAGUCUAGGAAUGUUUCUAAGAUCUACAGUUUUCUUGGGCUUGUGGGUUAUUAUCGGAGAUUUGUCAAGGGGUUCUCUUUAAUUUCAGCUCCUUUGACUAAACUGUUGCGUAAGAACGCCCUAUUUGUCUAAGCUGUUGCAAAUCACCUAAAAAUGCUUCCAACUAGAAGCAUUUUCAUAAAAUCUGCGUAUUCCUGUAAAUUUUCCAAAAAUAAGUCUAUUCAUGUAAUUAUAUUUAAAAUAAGUCUAUUCAUGUAUAGCAGUUGGUAUGGAUUCCAAAAGGGGAAGGAAUUGUAAUAUUUCCACAUACUUCUUUACCACAGGCACGUUCUUGAAAUUCUGCUGCUUGUAAAAUUGGGCAUAACAGGAAGAGGAGCAGGAGGAUGAAGUAAUGCGCUAAUUGAAAUUCCAUUUUCGUUGUUAUUUUGAUUGAGGGAAAUGAAUGAAGAUUUAGAUUGGGUUACUGAAGAAAACAGGUUUUAAAGAAACAAAAGCAGGGUUGAGUAGCACCACGAGAUGUAAAUUAUAAUUCUUAAAGUAGCACCACUACUGAUUUUCUUUUCUUUUUAAAAUUAGCACCACUAAAUGUAAAUUAUAAUUCUUAAAGUAGCUCCACUAAAUGUAAAUUAUAACUCAUAAAGUAGCACCACUAGUGUUUUUCUUUUCUUUUUAAAAUUAUUACCACUAGAUGUCAAAAUAAAUUAUAAUUGUUUUCGACGUAAAUUUAGUAAUGUGAAUGAAAAAAAAUAUCUUCACCUAUUUAAUAUAUUUUUUAAAUUUGUGCUUUCAUAUAUACCAUGCGCUUCAUAUUUACUUAAGAGUUCAUCUCUAAAAAUAUAACCAUACCUAUCCGUUUAUGUUAAUCUCACGAGUCUCUCAUCUAUUCUUAUUCAAUCAUGAUGGGACAAGACAAAUUAGAAAAACUCACAUUAGUAUAUAUUUUUAUUUAACAUAUUAUAUAAAUUACACUUUAUAAAUGAAUAAACAAAUGAAACUCUCAAUAUUACAUAUUUGAUAAUAUACUGCACAUUUCCUUAAAGAAAUAAUAUACCGCACAUGUUACAAUGCAUUUUCAAAAAAAGAAAAAGAAAUGUGACCACAAUAUAUAAUAUAUAGUACAAACAAAGGUACUCAUAUUUUAUAGUUCAUCAUUUUUAAUGUUACUACAGUCCAUCACGAUGUGGUCGGCAACAAGUGAAUAUAUUAUGGAUAAACUAUUAUAGAGUUUACAAAAUUACAGUUUUUUAGUGAAAAGUUAUAAAAUAAUUAUUCAAUUGUUAUUAAAUUUUUGUUUUAGUUAGUAACUGGCUAAUAUAAAAAUAGAAAUAUCCAAAAAUUUAAGAUAGUUGGGUGAUCAAACAAAGACAAAAUCGAAUAGUUGAGUGACUAUUUUAUAACUUUUUAAAGUUAGGUGAAUAAACAUAAAAAAUGAAUUCCAUAGUUGGGUGAUAACUAAUGUACUUUACCUAUAUAUUAUAUUAUAUUAAAUUUCACAUGUAAAACAACCUUAUUUGCUAAGUGUCAUUUUUUUUUUGUGCUUCUUAGUCCCCUCUAUUAGGGGUAUAAAUUGGAUUCUGAUGCUUGCAAGAUUACUUGAGUUUGAUUAAAAAAAAUGAAUUUGACUCGAAAACUAUCGAGUUAAGCUCGAGCUAUGAUCGAGCUAAAUUUGAGCUUAGUAAUACUUGGCUUGAAUAGCUUUCAUAUUUUUUAUAUUAUUAAGUUACGUAAUUUUCCUUAAUUAUUGAGCCGAGCUCAAGUACAAAAAUUGAUAAACGAGUUUAAUCGAGCUCAAAUUCAAGCAGCUCAGUUAUAUCUCAAGUGAGCUCGAACUUAAAAAUAAAUGUUCAAUUAAACUCAAACCAAAUAUUGAGUUUCAAAAUUUAAAUAUCGAGCUUAGUAAUAUUCAAACUCGACUCGAUUAUGCCACUACCCUCUACAAACUAAUCAGUUUAGCAAGUAUCUGCCCCCCGUAAAAUGUGCAAUGCACCUCAUUUGCUCUCAUGGCAUCUUCUUUUCUAAUUCAAUGUACAGUAGAAAUUUCCAAGCUAGAUUUGCAAAGAAAGACGAUAAUCUGAACUUUGUUGACAAUUUCCUCACAAUCAAGCUAAAGUUUUCCUAUUCAGAAGCUUUUAUGAAAAGUCAACUCUCCUCAUCACAUACAAUCUUUAUCAUAUGUAUGUUUUUUUUAAUAUAGUAUAUGCGAUUUAUGUUGAAUAUAUUCAAUAUAUUUUGAAAAACCAGCAAGAACAAUAAACAAUAUCAAAUUUGUUCCCACAAUAUUUGUGGACCUGCUGCUGUAUUUUCAUCUUAAAGUAAGAAUUAAGAGUUGUGUAAAAUGACUAAAAUUACGCGUGGGGUUUUAUAAUGGGAAACCACUCAGAAACCUUCUUUCAACUUAGGGUUUUUUUUCAAAAAAAAUAAAAAAUAAUGCACUUUAGAAUUAUCUGGAAAACAUCCAAGCAAAACAAAACCUAUUCCAUGAUGAAUGCUUUUUCACUUGUUUGCCAACUUACUUUUUUAGUUUUUAGAGACAAACAAAACAUGAUUAAUUGUUUCUUAGACUCGUCUAAUUAGACACGGUUUACGCCAUACAUCGUAUAUGAUAACAAAAGAAUUCUUUCUAUGUGAAAAAACUGUUAGGAUCGACCCAAUUAAACAAAAAAUAAUAAAAAGUAGCGGAAUAAAUUGAGAAAUUGAACACACAAAUUAACGUGAAGAAACUCCUCCAAAGAGGAUAAAAAACCAUGAGAAAAGAUAAUUUUACUAUAAUGGCAAAAUAAAUAAAGAGUACAAAAGAUGGAGAUAAAAACUAAACCCCGAAAGCUCAAAAACAAAGAACUCUCAAAACGUAAACACAAAAUUCUCUAAAUGUGUUGAGUUCUAAUAUCUAAUGGUUGUAUUUUCUAAAGUAAUCAGUGUUUGAUUGUAUUUGCCAUGCACAACUAUGGAAAGAACCCUCAAAACGUAAACACAAAAUUCUCUAAAUGUUUCAAUCUAAACUAAUCAGUGUUUGAUUGAAACAAAUAAACAGAGUUUAACAAGAAGAUUAUUUCUCAAAUCUGACUGAAAUAGGAGUCAUACUUAACAAAUCUCCACAUUGACUCAUAUUCAAUGCCAUCUUUGCCAAAGCCUGCCACGAGCCUAUCUUGAACUAUGCAGGGAAUUAAUUGAGUUGAGUCUAUGCUUAGAAACAUGAAGACUUCUAGCCUUCGACUUGUACACUGCCAAAUCAAAACUAACCCGAGUCUGACUUUCACGAACACAGUACCCUAACUUUUCAAAACCUUCAUCCAAAAGAGAACCUCUCUUCAACGAAACGGUCAUACAAUUUUCCCUCCUACGACCAAGUUGCCUUUACUCCAAACGAGUUAACUUCAACUCUAUAACGGACGUGGGACGUCCGAUUUCACCAGUCACUGUAGAACCUUCAAGAAUAUAACAACUGCCAGUUCUUUUACCUUUUAACAAAAUAAGAGCUCCACAAGAUCCUUUAAUGCCGCUUGACUCGAUGUUGAUUCUACAUCCUUUCAAGUCUAAAAUAUUCAAGGAGAUGAGUUUCUUUCGUAAAUCAGGUACAUACCUGACAUCUGAGAGUGUCCUAAUUGUCCCAUCGUGUAUCCUAAUUUUAAUAGUACAAAUACUAAUUACCUUACUAGAUGAAUCGUUUCCCAUGCGCACAACUCCACUUUCAACCGAACUGUAUGUGGAGAAUCAUUCUCUGUUGGGACACAUGUCGAAAGAACAUCUCGAAUUUAGGAUCCACUCGGAUAUGAGCUUGGAGUUAUUGCUCGUUGACACUAACAAGAAAUCAUCACCGCUUUCAUUGGCCAAAUUAUCACCAGCUACAUUUUCCUCGUUACUCUCAACAGCUCUUUUAUUUCGUAAUUUAUAACAAUCUGCUUUGACGUGACCUAACUUUUUACAAUAGCGACACCUUUUGUCUCGUUUCUUUGAUGCUACCAAAACGGAAGCUUGCCUCUCUACCUUGCUAUCCAAACCAAACUCAUUGUUGAGUUUGUCUCUACUCAACAAAUGACCCUUAACAUCUUCGAACGAGAGUUUGUCUCUGCCAUAAAUCAAGGUCUCUCUGAAAGACUUGUAUGAAGGGGGUAAAGAGCACAAUAAUAGCAUAGUCUGAUCUUCAUCGUCAAUAUGAACCUCAACAUUCUUUAAAUCAUUUAAAAGAGUAACAGAUUGACUGACGUGAUCUCUAAGAAGCUCACCUUUGUUCAUGCGAAACGUAAAUAGAUGUUGUUUUAGCACUGAAUGGUUAGCCAGAGACUUAGUCGCGUAAAGAGUUUCUAACCUUUUCCACAAGACGGAUUAGUCGCAUAAAGAGUUUCUAACCUUUUCCACAAGAAGGAUGGGGUCUUCUCCAUAAACCGUAUUUGCGAGGCACAAUUGGAUUCCAGACAAGGCCUUUUCAUCAAGCUCUUCCCAUUCUGUUUGAUUUUGAUUCUCAGGCUUUUUCCCGAUAACAACCUUUUUCAAGCCGGUUUGAACUAGAAUUGCCAUCAUCCGAACUUGCCAUAGAUUAAAAUUUGUCUCACCAUUAAACUUCUUAAUUUCAAACAUUGUUGCUGCCAUUUCUGAAUGGGCUGAUCUAUGGAAAUUAAACUAGCUCUAAUACUACUUGUUAGGAUCGACCCAAUUAAGCAACAAGUAACAAAAAAUAGCAGAAUAAAUUGAGAAAUUGAACACACAAAUUUAACAUGAAAAAACUCCUCUAAAGAGGAUAAAAAGCCAUGGGCAAAUAUAAUUUUACCAUAAUGGCAAAAGAAAUGAAGAGUACAAAAGAUGGAGAUAAAAAUUAAACCCCGAAAACUUGAAAACAAAUAACCCUCAAAACGUAAACACAAAAUUCUCUAAAUGUGUUAUGAGUUCUAAUAUCUAAUGGGUGUAUUUUCUAAGGUUGUAAAAGAGCCUAUUUAUAGGCUAAAUUCAUAUGUCAAAUAAUAAUAAAAUAAUUUAAACUAAUCAGUAUUUGAUUGAAACAAAUAAACAGAGUUUAACUAGAAGAUUAUUUCUCAAAUUUGACUAAAAUAGGAGUCAUACUUAACAAAAACAAUAGGCAAUAUAUUAAAUAGACAUUGAGUAUUGAGCACAAAUUGCAGAUUUUAGUGAGAGCGAAAUGUACUCCAUUUUCAUCAAAUGACACAAAGCUAGAGGAAUAUGACUAGUAAAACUAUUAUUAGGGAGGGAUAAGAGGCUGAUCUUAAGGUAUUCAACUUAAGGUAUUCAACUGUAACCUUCUUAACUUGGCCCGUAAUGGCCGAAUUUUGAAUAUUACAUUGGUCACCAAAAUGGCCUCAUAGAAUCAAUUAGAUUUGAAAAUGUUUUUUACUAACUUUUAGAAAACUUAAUGUAACUGCUUGGGAUUAUCAAAAUGCCAGAUUAUUAAGUCGAGUUAACUUGUCCAAUUUAAGAAGUGUUGUGACAUUUUGAGAUAAACUUAGUUGGUUUUUGUUUUGUUGAUUUGCCUUUUUAAAGUGAAACCAUCAGUUUUACCAUUGUAUUUUUUUUAACAAAGAUUUAGGUCACAUAACUCUAACACAUAUAAAUAAAUUUUAUAAUUAUAAUUGUAAAAAUUUAUAUAACUUAUUAAUCAAAUAAAAAGUUAUAUAACAUAAUGAAAAUGAUUUUAAUUAAAUUUAUUUUAAAUAUAAAAUUAAUUUAACAUAUUAUAAGUUUAUAAUACCACGUCACUAGAACUAAUAUAUAUCCUCAAUAAAUUAAAUGUCACAUGUGAAAGAAGACAAUAUUAUAAACAAUUGAGCCAAAGUUUUUGGUUUCAAAAUCUUUUGUGGAAAAUUCCACACUUCAAUGGUGAUGAGUAGUUGAUUACAUUCAAUCUUUAUGUAUAUGCUUUUCUAUGUUUACAUACACCUUUAAUUAAAUUUGAGUAUGCUUGAUAGAGAAGAAAAGUGAGUCGAAAGAAAUAGGAAGAAUGACCAAUUUUUAUCUUAAUGCAUAAAAAAAUCAUUCCAAAUUAGAAUACUAAAAUGAAACAAAAUGAGAGAGGUGUAUGCUAGUUCAAAAUAAUGCAAUUUUCAAAUGUUUUAUUUUCUUUCAUUUCAAUUUUCAACUCUACCGAGCAAUGGAUGGAAAGAAAAUUAUUUUUCUUUCAAUUUUUUCAUCUUUCUUGCCAUGCACAACUAUGGAAAGAACAAUUGUAUUUUCUAUCCUUAUAUUUUUCUUUCCAAUUUUCCAUUCCUCCUUCCAUCCUUCCACUAUUCCACUCAACCAAGCACACACCCUAAGGCUUUGCUUGGUAGAGUGGAAAGAAAAUAGGUAAGAUGAAAAAUUGAAGGGGUAGAAAAAUAGAAAUAUGGAGAAUAUAAAUUUUCUUUCCAUGUGUGUGCUUGGUAGGAAAGAUGGAAAAAUUGAAAGAAAAGAAAAGGUAGAAAAAUAGAAAGAUGGAAAAAUAUAAAUUUUCUUUUCAUAUGUGUGCUUAGUAGGAAAAAUGGAAAAAUCAAAAGAAAAUAUAUUUUUUUUCCCAUCUAUUGCUCGGUAGAGUUGAAAAUUGAAAUGAAAGAAAAUAAACAUUUAAAAAUGCAUAAUUUUGAACUAGCAUACACCUCUCUCAUAUCCUUUCUUUCCAUCAUUCCAAUUUGGAAGUAUCGGUUUUAAUACAUUAGGAUAAAAAAAUGGUUCUUUCCUCUCACUUUUCUUCCAUAUCAAGCACAUUCAAAUUAAAAUAUUUAUUUAAUUUUUAUACAUCCUAAAAUGUACCAAUAGAAUUAGAACAUCAAUACACAUACCAAUUUUUUAAAAAAUAAUUUUUAAUAUUUUUAAGCUUCGUCUAAUUUAGAAAAAGUUGUCUUGAAUGAAUCUGGACUUAGAAUUAACUUGUAAAUGGUUUUUAUUAAUUUUUGAACUUUAUUUAAUAUUUUUUAAUUUUUAAUUUUUUUUGCAAAUUUAUAAAAUUUAUAAAAAUUAAUUUUUUAAAUAUUUUUUUAAUUAAAAAAAAAUUAAGCUUCAAAAUGAAUGAACUUGGUACUGGCUCAUCAGCAACUAUUGCUAACAUGAAGCAACACGUUAGCGUCGUUAAUGGUUACGUCAAUGUUGUAACAGUCAACAUUAGUCAAAGGGCCUAUUUGGCCAAUUUUUUUAGUUUAGUGGCUCAAUUGGGUGCAAAAAGUUCGUACGGGUUUAGUUAAAUUUUUUGAAUUCGAGGACAAAAAAUACCAUUAAGCCCUUCUUUAACUAUUGAUAUAUCCUUUUCUAUGUAUUGGUCAACAUUAGUCAAAAGGCCUAUUUGACCAAUUUGUUAGUUUAGGGGCUCAAUUGGGUGUAAAAAGUUUACAGGGGCUUAAUUGAUUUUUUGAAAAUGUUUGAUGAGAAAAAAAAAAGCCAUUAAGCCCUUCUUUAACUAUUCUUAUGUCUUUUUUAAUUAAUUUUACAUUAGCGCAUAGUACAGGCACACAAUGUAUGGGGUGUUUCCAUGUAUACAUGUAGAAUGUAUUUUGAUACCGAGGAAUUAGAUGAAAAUGUGAAUAUUAAGGUUGUAAUGUCACUUCCUAGUAAUUACAAAGAAUUAUAAUUUUCUAGAUGCCUUUGACAGAUAGAGUGUAAUUAUAUUGUAAUUCCUUCUAUCUUGUUUAGUAGUAUAAAUUGUAAUUAUACAUUUACAAAUUUUAAAAAAGGUAUUAAUUACUAUAAAUAGUUAUCAAUAAUACUUGAGAAAAAAAAUCUAAACAAGUAGCAUAAAUUAAAACAAAUCAUUUUAUCUUAGUCCAAGAAAGUAAUCGACAACACGAUUACCAAUAAAAAAGUACAAGAAAAAUAAACAUUUUAUUAUUGCUCUAGCAUUCCACGUUUGUUGGAUUAUUCCUUUUCUAGCUUUUAACACUAUUAGUCCUUGACCAAUUUCUUCAUUGUUGAUACAAGGUACAACAAUGGAAGGGAGUAAGGAAGAGGUAAGGCGGAGUGAGGGGUGGUUUUGUGGAGGCCGAUUCACUUAAAGAGGCGAAGAGUUGGAAAGGAAUAAGAGGAUAGGCUGAUUGUUGAAAGAUGAGAUGGUUGCUAAGAGUACUUUAAGGGUUGGAAAAUCAAUCCCUUCUUCAUUGUUGAAAGGUAUUUAUAAGAGAGAUCCUCUUGUCCAUUAAUGUGACAUGGCAGGAUAAAUGCUCAGUCCCACUAAAUGUGUAAAGGAUAUUCAUGAAUGUGAAGGGUAUUUCGAAUCGCGCUUCAAAUACAACUCUAACAAAUAUUUACGAAAAAUGGGUCUCGCGCUAGUGUGGCCCACACGGGUAUGUCGUAUUGACAGUUCACUUUUUGGCUUCGCGCCGUUUACAAAUUUUCGAUUUUUUCGUUACACACCUAAUUGAUUUUCGAUGCAAAUCCAACAGCGAAAAUUUUAGAACCCAAAAUCAACAUUUAAAAUGAUCAAUUUUAGUAAUGAAACACUAAAUUUAAACCACUAAUUUGGCUACAACCGCUUAUAACAAAUCUUAACAAAUCGGAAAUCAAUAUUCUGACAUUCGGUUACUUACCUAAAACAAAAGCGACUGUCCUAAAAAUCUCCUAACUCAAUGGAAGGAUGUCAUGCAUUUCACGAACUUCUCCUAACAUUACACCAAAACCAUUAAUUAGAUCGAACCUUACAUACACAUAGUUCCAUAUAAAACGAAAACAACAACAUCUUCUAAGGUAAAUAAAAGCUAUUAUCAGAGAUAUUACCAAAUUAAGCAGAAGCACCUAAAUCUCAAAUGUCCAGCAACACAAAGAAAAACAGCAAGAAAGCAGAACAAGGAAUGAAAGAAAAGAGGCAACAAAAGGAAAAACAACAAGGAAAGAUGGCUAAAAAAGAAAAUGACAAAAAUCAAUUAGCAACAAUUGGAAACAGAAUGUGGAAAGAGGGAGGGAAAAGUGAGAGACGUGAGAGAGUGAAUGGGAGAAUUUUGGGGAAAUUUUGAUAAUAAUAAAAUUAAAAAAAAACAAAUGUAAAAAAAUCCCAACUCAACUACCAAGUAACCACCUUUCAGAUCGUACGGUAGUUAAAAUUGACUCAAACUUCAACCUCCUAAAUGACCCAGACUAGAGAAACCGAAAAUAUUUUCCGCUUGCACGCACAGGGAUUCAAAUACAAGACCUUUGGGUAAGAUGAAACCUUACCACUGAACCAGCAGAUUUAUUUUUGUACACAAUUGAGCGGAAAGAAAAUAUAAGUCAGACAAACAAAGAAAGGGAUUGGGAUAAAAAUAAUAAAAAAAAUCAACAAAAAGAUUUGAACCUAAAACCUCUCACACACAAGCACAAAACUUAACCUUUUUAAACCAAUUAAAUCACUUGACAAAUUCUAACAAUUCAAAACCACAAAUUUUUAGGGUGUUACAAUUAAUUACAAAGAAUUAUAAUUUUCUAGAUGCGUUUGGUUGAUAAAGUGUAAUUAUAUUGUACUUCUUUGUGUCUUGUUUAGUAGUAUAAAUUGUAAUUACAAAAUUUAAAUUUUUAAAAAAGUAUUAAUUACUAUAAAUAGUUAUCAAUAAUACUUGAGAAAAAAAAUCUAAACAAGUAACAUAAAUUACAAUCAAAUCAUUUUAUCUUAGUCCAAGAAAGUAACCAACAACACGAUUACCAAUAAAAAAGUAUAAGGAAAAUAAACAUCAUAUGCAACUUUAUUAUUGCUAUAGCAUUCCAUGUUUGUUGGGUUAUUCCUUUUCUACCAUUUAACAUGUACUUCUUAUCAUCAUCUAUUAGUCAUUGACCAAUUUCUUCAUUGUUGAUACAAGGCACUACAAUGGAGGGGAGUAAGGAGGACGUAAGGCUGAGUGAGUGGUGGUUUUCUGGAGGCCGAUUCACUUAAAUAGGCUGAGAGCCGGAAAUGAACAAGAGGAUAGGUUGAUUGUUGAAAGAGGAUAUUAUAAGAGAGGUAUUUAGAAGAGAGGUCCUCUUGUCCAUUAGCAUGACGUGGUAGGAUAAAUGUUCAGUCCCACCAAAUGUGUAAAGGAUAUUCACAAGCAUGAAGGAUAUUCAUGAUGGGCCCCGUUCUAUUAUUCAUUCUAUCAAUACAAGGUUGUUAUGCCCAUGCAGGUCCUAAUGGCCUCGGAGAUGUGUUAACACCAAAAAAGCGAGUGCCUAGCAUUUCUGAAGGGCUGGUGCUCCUUUGAUCUUGGUGGAUGGUCCAAUGAGACAUCUUCUCAGGCAGACUUACUGAGAGGGUCAAUGUUGUCUAUGCUGCAGACACAUGUCCAUGUGACAAGGGGUAUAACAUUCAUCGUCUAAACCAAAAUCUAAAUAUUUAUCAUUAACAUUAUCGAGAUCAUUUUUUAUCUUUAUCAUUAAGAUUAUCAGGAUCUGUCUUUUUAUGUACUAUUUAAAGUGUUGAUAAUUCCAAUUCCACCUAUAAAUGGAAUUGUGUAGUACAGUUAGCACGAUCGAACAUUGUUUUUUAGACUAUAUUGAUGUGGUUUGUUAAUAUGGGAAAUUUUUUUUAGAACAAUAAAUAUCCUCACAACUACAUUUCGAAACUUUGAAUAAAGAGUUUGUGAGCCGUCUUUAGUAUUUGUGUCUAGCUCUGUUCUUUUAAAUGAUAUUAUAUCCCGUGAUAUACUGCAAGAAAACAUUUUGCAUUUGCAUAAUCAAUAUCUGCCACAUAAUAUUUCCUAAAAAACAUGUAACAAUUUAAAUAAUUUAUGAGAACAAACCCCUUAGACUAGUUAACCUAUGUAGUGUGCGGUUAAGUGAGGAAUAAAUAGAGGAGGGUUUUAACCAACUUUUGGUUAAUUACCACAUAAAUCUUUCAUAUUUAUUGAAUUAUUUACUUUAGCCCCUCUCGUUUUAAUUUCUAAAUUUUAUUAUGGUGUGUGACCCAUUAAACAUCUAAUUAUGUUGGUAAUAAAUAUAUUCUAUUUCAAUUAAAUUUCUAAUUAUGUUGAAUUAUUAACCCUGAUUAUCUGCCUUCAUUAAGGACUUGCAGCUAUACAAAAGAUAUGUUCCCUCGUAUCACUUGAGGUGAUGAGUCCUUUCUGAACCACUUCAUCACCUUCAUAUGUCAUAUCAUACCUAAAACAUCUACUUUAAGCAUCUAUCAAUACGGAUCCAUUUGGUAAUGAAUCAAAGUAUGACGGUCAACAUAUAAGGAGAGCCUGUGUGUCAAGUCUAAGGAUUAUUAUUUAUACUACCAAUAUAGGGAGUAUUUCUAUAAACACUAAUGUGUUUUUCGCCCUAUAACCUUAUAUUGAUAUUUGUUAGUUUUAUGAAAAUUUGAAUUUUAAAUAAUUUUUCCGACUAAAUUAAUAUUAAAUUAACUUAUAACACCAAUUUAAUAAAAUAUAUUAAACAAGCAUAGAUAUAAUUUCAUUAAAAUCUGUCAACAGAAAAAGUACCAUUAAUUUCUUUGAAGUCCCCACUUUUUGGAUCUUAAUGGGUGAGAAAUUUCUUAGAUAGAAACUGAAGACAAUAUUUAAAGUAAAGGGGACGUUAAAACCCAAGUCUUUGAAAAAUAAAUACCAUCACGACUGAACCAACAAUUCCCUUGAGUCAUAAUUAGGCACUUAAUGAAAAAGUAAGUCAACAAAAUAAUAGAAAAGGCUUGGGCCACAAUUAAUUUAUACUCUAAUGUCUCGUAUAUAAUGCUUAUUUAUUAUUAUCUAUUAUAUAGAAAUAUGGACCAUCAGAAACAAAAAAGCAAAGAUUCUAUCCUUUUAUUAUAUCUUAUUGAUACUAACAACAUAGAAAUUUCCAUGAAAAAGAAAGCACAACACAUGAAGUAAAUUACAUGACAUCGACUGAAGCAAUGAUAACAACUGGCCCCUACAACAAUUGCAACAAGACCUUGACUCCUACAAUCACUUUCCUUAAAUUCUUCUCUUUGGAAACUAUAACAUAUAUGCUACUACUGAACCUUUAGCAAACAAUUAAGUUUACGUAAUUCAACAUGGCCUCAUCCUCAACCUUUUCCAUUAUUUUAGGGAUGUUGCAGGCUAUCAACUUUCUAAUUUCCAUUGCCAGAACUGUGACAGUAGCAGAUUCAUCGCCUUUGGCGUCCGAAGCCAUAGCUAUGGUAGAAAGUGGGUGGUGGAGUAACUAUAGCAACAAUGCUUCAGAACGUUGCCAGUGGCCAGGUAUAUCAUGCAACACCGCUGGAAGCAUCAUCCAGAUUAACUUAUCUUAUGAGUUAAUUAUUUAGGUUAAAAUAUAUAAUCGAAUAUUUUAAAAUAUAUAAUUUUUAAUAUAUUUAAAACACUAUAUACCUAUAAUUGAAUUGAGUUAAUACAAAAUAAAAGAAACUAAGACCUUAUUUACUUUUCUUAUAAAAUUAUUAAAUUCAUAUUAAUCAAAUGGUUUUUUUUUAAAUAAUUAUUAAACCUCGGUCAUCAAUUAAUCAAAUCCACAAAAACACAUUCUUUUCUUUUCUUUCUUUUUUUUUUCUUUUUUGGGUGAUUGAUAAAGAAAUGAAUUUCAAGUUUUUCACUUGCAAAAAUAGUUGUAAUUUCUAUUUUGUACUUUGUAAAUAUUUUUAUAAUAUAUAUUAUUCAUUUUUCUUUGAUAGUGUGUUAUUGCUUCCUCUUCUUCUUUGGCUUGUUUGAUUGCUUCUUCCACCCACAGUUGAGCGUCUUGUAUGUUGUGAGGUGCAGAAUAAACAAUAUCAAAGUUGUUCCCAAGAUAUUUGUGGACCUGCUGCUGCAUUUUCAUCUUAAAGUAAGAAUUAAGAGUAGUGUAAAAUGACUAACUUUACGUGUGGGGUUUUGUGAUGGGAAACCACUCAGAAACCUUCUUUCAAUAAUAAUCGGAAAACAUCCAAGCAAAGUGAUGAAUGCUUUUUCACUUGUUUGCCAACUUACUUUUUUAGUUGUUAGAGACAAACAAAACAUGAUUAAUUGUUUCGUAGACUCGUCUAAUUAGACACGUUUUACGCCAUAUAUCAUAUAUGAUAACAAAAGAAUUCUUUCUAUGCGAAAAAACAAUGUCAAUAUAUUAAAUAGACAUCGAGUAUUAAGCACAAUUGCAGAUUUUAGUGAGACCGAAAUGUUCUCCAGUUUCAUCAAAUGACACAAAGCUAGAGGAAUAUGACCAGUAAUACUAUUAUAAGUGAGGGAUAAAAGGCUGAUCUUAAGGUAUUCAACCGUAACCUUCUUAACUCGCUUUUAUGUUAUGGCCAAAUUUUGAAGAUUAUAUUAGUCACCGAAAUGGCCUCAUAGAACCAAUUAGAUUUGAAAACGUUUUUUUACCAACUUUUAGAAAACUUAAUGUAACUGCCUUGAAAUUAACAAAAUGUUAGAUUAUUAAGUCGGGUUAACUUAAGAGUCCAUUUUAAGAAGUGUUGUGACAUUUUGAGAUAAACUUAGUUGAUUUUUGUUUUGUUGAUUUGCCUUUUUAAAGUGAAACCAUUAGUUUUAGCACUAUAUUUUUUUAACAAAGAUUCGGGUCACACAACUAUAACACAUAUAAAUAAAUUUUAUAAUUACAAUUGUAAAAAUUUAUAUAACUUAUUAAUCAAAUAAAAAGUUAUAUAACAUAAUGAAAAUGAUUUUAAUUAAAUUUAUUGAAAAAUAUAAUAUUAAUUUAGCCUAUUAUAAUUUUAUAAUUCCACGUCGUUAGAACUAAUAUAUAUCCUCAAUAAAUUAAAUUUCAGAUGUGAAAGAAGACAAUAUUAUAAACGAUUGAGCCAAAGUUUUUGGUUUCAAAAUCUUUUGUGGAAAAAUCCGCACUUCAAUGGUGAUGAGUAGCGAUUAUAUACAAUCUUUGUUUACAUACACCUUUAAUUAAAGGAGGCAAAAGCUGAUCCUUGUGUUGAAUACUUUCCUAUUUGUUGCAACAUACUAAUACUAUAGAUAUAGAAAACAAAACGUGAUGAAUGAUGAAUGCUUUUCAACCUACUUUACUGGGUUUCCAUACUUUAUAUGUUUUUCUUUCUAUGCCAACAACAGUAGUCAAUGUGCCCUGCUUGUUUCCAUCAACUUUCACCUUACAAAAAGAAAGAUAAAAACGUGACCUUUAGUCCUACAAUGAAAUGAACAUGUAUAAAUUCAUUACCAGAAACUAUGACAUGAUACAACUGAACCUUUAGCAGAUAAUUAAGCUCAGCUAAUUAAACAUGGCCUCAUCCUCAACCUUUUCCAUUAUUUUAGGGAUACUACAAGCUACCAUCUUUCUAAUUUCCAUUGCUAGAACUGUGACAAUGGCAGAUCCAUCGCCUGUGGCGUCCGAAGCCAUAGCUAUGGUAGAAAGUGGGUGGUGGAGUAACUAUAUUAACAAUGCUUCAGAACGUUGCCAGUGGCCAGGUAUAUAAUGCAACACUGCUGGAAGCGUCAUUCAGAUUAACUUAUCUUAUGAGUUCAUUAUUGAGGUUGGAGAUAGAUUCGGGAAAUUGAAUUUCUCUUCAUUUCCAAAUCUUGUCCUUCUUGAUCUUAGUGAUCGUCAACUUGGUGGAAAAAUCCCGCAUCACAUAGGUAAUCUAUCAGCAUUGAAGCACCUUGACUUAUCCAAUUGUGGUUUAUCCGGUGAGUUACCUCCUCCUCUAGGAAACCUAACCCAAUUAGAGUACCUUGACAUUUCCUAUAAUUAUAAUAUUAACGGUUCCAUCUCUCCACAACUAGGGAAUCUAGUGAACCUUGUCAGUUUAAAUUUGAGUAGGACCAGUCUUAGUGGAAACAGUCCACCGUUUCUUGGGCUAUUGACCAACCUUAGGCAUCUACUUUUGGAUGGGUAUCAAUUUGACGAUGGUAAUAAUACAAUUCCUCAAAAUUUGUGGAAUUUGAGGGGUCUUGAGACUUUAAGUCUAAUUCGUUGUGGAAUUGUUGGUCCAAUCCCUUCUGCUUUGGGUCAGUUAUUAAAUCUCAAAUAUUUAAUUCUUUGGGGCAACAAAAUUAAUGGAACUAUUCCAUCUGAAGUUGGAUUCUUAUCAAACUUAACUUAUUUUGAUGUCUACGACAACAGACUGGUUGGUUCAAUACCUUUUUCCUUGUACCAAUUAACCAAUUUGGAAACUUUGUACCUUGAUAAUAACCAGCUUGAAGGUUCCAUCCCUCAGAAUAUUGAAAAGUUGAUGAACAUCAAGGUUUUAAGCAUUACUAAUAAUAGUUUUACUGGUCAUAUCCCCCUAGUUUUGUGUCGUUUGACAAAAUUGGAAUCUAUUUACCUUCACAAAAAUCAAAUCAGUGGUUCAAUCCCUUCUUGUCUUGGUAAGUUGUUUAACUUGCGCUAUUUGUAUCUUGAUUCAAAUCUAUUAGAAGGUCUUAUUCCUGAAGAGAUUGGGAAUUUAGCAAAUUUAACUUCAUUAAGCCUCUCCCAAAAAAAUUUAGUGGUUCAAUCCCAUCUUGUAUUGGCAACUUCUCCAAUUUGUAUAACUUAGAACUUGAUUCAAAUCUAUUAAAAGGUCCUAUCCCUGAAGAAAUUGGUAGGCUUUUUUGCCUAUCAAAUUUAAACCUCAGCUUCAACCAACUGUCAGGUAGUGUCCCUAUCUUGUCUGCCACUAAGCUUCGUAUCAUCGAUGCUGGAAAUAACUGUAACAAGAUUUCACCCGAUCCAUUUGAAGGCAAUAGUCGUCUAUCACCCUAUAUGUGUCCUUCUCCAGUAACUAACAAAGCCAACAGCAGUACAAUUCUUUACUAUAUCAAAAUAUUCCUCCCUAUUGCCAUCUUCUUCGCAUUCUCCAUUUUGGGAUAUUUUCUAUUUUCACGAUUUAAGCCCAAGAAUAACCGUGUCGGUGUGCAACCGACGAAGAAUGGGGAUUUGUGUUCCAUAUGGAACUAUGAUGGAAAGAUAGCAUACGAGGAUAUUGUUGCAGCAACAGAGGAUUUCGACUUUCGAUACUGUAUAGGAGUUGGUGGUUAUGGAAGUGUUUACAGAGCACAACUACCUUGUGGUAAAGUAGUUGCCUUGAAGAAACUUCAUCGUUUAGAAGCUGAAAAUCCAGCCUUUGACAAGAGCUUCAGGAAUGAGAUCAAGUUUCUAACAGAAAUACGACAUCGAAGCAUCGUAAAGCUUCAUGGGUUUUGUCUACACCGACGGUCCAUGUUUUUGAUCUAUGAGUACAUGGAAAAAGGGAGUUUGUUCUGCAACCUAAGAGAUAAAGUGGAAGCUGUGGAAAUGGAUUGGACAAAAAGAGUGGAGAUCAUCAAGGGCAUAGCGCAUGCUUUGUCUUACUUGCACUAUGAUUGCAGCCCUCCAAUAGUUCAUCGAGACAUAUCAAGUAACAAUGUUCUUUUAAACUCGAGCUUUGAGGCAUUUGUAGCUGACUUUGGGACUGCUAAAAUGUUGGAUCUUGAAUCAUCCAAUCAGACCAUUAUUGUGGGCACAUGUGGUUAUGUAGCUCCAGGUGAUUUUCUCUGCUUCGUUUGAUGACAUUUUCUUCGGAAUUUAUAAAAUUAAUUGAACAUAUAAAUGAUAUUCUUUUUUAUCUGGUUUUUCGUAUGCAGAACUUGCAUAUACCUUGACUGUCAACGAAAAAUGUGAUGUCUAUAGUUUUGGAGUGGUGGCACUGGAAACGUUAAUGGGAAAGCAUCCUGAAGAAUUGUUAUCAUGGUUGUCACCACCAACUUCUUUGAUGAAUAUGAGGCUGAUUGAUGUGCUAGACAACCGUUUACCACUUCCGACAAGUCAAUUAGUUGCACAAAAUCUUGUUCGCAUUGCUACUUUGGCAUUCGCCUGCCUAAAUCCGCAACCUAAGUCUCGACCAACGAUGAAAGAAGUGUGCGAAGAGUUUCUUUGUGGCCAAACAUCCUUGGGAGUUCCCCUUCGGAUGAUCUCUUUGUUACAACUUGUGAACUGUGAAAUGCAUAUUGGAGGCAAAACUGGAACUUGCAAUGUUUAAACUCCAUGUGGUUGUUGUUGAUUAGAUAUUGUUUAUCAUGCUUUGAUGAUUUGUUUGUAAACCAUAUCCUGUGUUAUAUAUGGUGGAAUGAAUUGCAAUGUUCAACAAAUUUGUUUAUUUGAUUGUUUUACAUAACAUAAAUUCGACAAUUUGAUAUCCAAAUAUUCAAACACCGUCCUGAUAGCUUCCUUCAAUUUCGCGCUUCUUUCAAGCAUGAAAGACCAACUCAAAGGAUAAAUAAAAUAUAAGUAAAUUAAUGGUGAAUUAAAGCAACAAAAUGCAAUCAAUACAUACAUUAAGAAUUCACCUGAACUAACUAUAAUUCAUUAAACGAUCUCUCCACUUAUGUAAUGGAAGUGAGAUUACACAGAUCUGGGCUACGUAACAUCCAAACUUAAAAUGCAACAAAAGGGGUCAAAAUGGAGCCAGCACAAAUUCCAACAUUUUUUUUCCAUAUCAAGCACAUUAGGAUUUAUUGCUUGGUAGAGUUAAAAAUUGAAAUGAAAGAAAAUAAACAUUUAAAAAUGCAUAAUUUUGAACUAGCAUACACCUCUCUCAUAUCCUUUCUUUCCAUCAUUCCAAUUUGGAAGUAUCGGUUUUAAUACAUUAGGAUAAAAAAAUGGUUCUUUCCUCCCACUUUUCUUCCAUAUCAAGCACAUUCAAAUUAAAAUAUUUAUUUAAUUUUUAUACAUCCUAAAAUGUACCAAUAGAAUUAGAACAUUAAUAUACAUAUCAAUUUAAAAAAAUUAAUAAAAAAAUUAAUUUUUAAUAUUUUUAAGCUUCAUAUAAUUAAGAAAAAAAAUUGUCUUGAAUGAAUCUAGACAUAGACUUAACUUGUAAAUGGUUUUUAUUAAUUUUUAAUUUUUUGAAAUUUAUUUAAUAACUUUAUAAUUUUGAAUUUUUUUUACAAAUUUAUAAAAUUUUAAAAAAUUAAUUUUUUUUAAAUUUUUUUAAUUUAAAAAAGUUUUAAGCUUCGAAACGAAUGAUCUUGGUACUGCAACAUCAGCAACUAUUCCUUUUAAAAAUUAAAUAUUCCUUUUAAUUUUUAUUUUUUUGACAUGACAGUUGAAAUGAUACCGGCACAUCAACAACUAUCACUAACAUGAAGCACCAUGUUAGCGUCGUUAAUGGUUACGUCAAUAUUGUAACGGUCAACAUUAGUUAAAGGGCCUAUUUGGUCAAUUUUGUUAGUUAAGUGGCUCAAUUGGGUGCAAAAAUUUCGUAGGGGUUUAAUUAAUUUUUUUGAAAGAGUUUGAGGACCAAAAAUACCAUUAAGCCCUUCUUUAACUAUUGAUAUAUCCUUUUCUAUGUAUCGGUAAACAUUAGUCAAAGGGCCUAUUUGACCAAUUUAUUAGUUCAGUGGCUCAAUUGGGUGUAAAAAGUUCACAGUGACUUAAUUGAUUUUUUUUUAAAAGUUUGCUGAGCAAAAAUACCAUUAAGCCCUUCUUUAACUAUUGAUAUGUCUUUUUUAAUUAAUUUUACAUUAGCGCGUAGUACAGGCACACAAUGUAUGGGGUGUUUCCAUGUAUACAUGUAGAGUGUAUUUUGAUACCACAAACGAAUUAGAUGAAAAUGUGAUUAUUAAGGUUGUAAUAUCACUUUCUAGUAAUUACAAAGAGUUAUAAGUUUUUAGAUGCAUUUGACUGAUAGAGUAUAAUUAUAUUGUAAUUUUUUUUAUCUUAUUUAGUAUAGUAUAAAUUGUAAUUACACAUUUACAAAUUUUAAAUUUUUUAAAAGGUAUUAAUUACUAUAAAUAGUUAUCAAUAAUGCUUGAGAAAAAAAAUUCUAAACAAGUAACAUAAAUUAAAAUCAAAUCAUUUUAUCUUAGUCUAAGAAAGUAACCGACAACACGAUUACCAAUAAAAAAGUACAAGAAAAAUAAACAUUUUAUUAUUGCUCUAGCAUUCCAUGUUUGUCGGGUUAUUCCUUUUCUGACAUUUAACAUAUACUUCUUAUAAUCAUCUAUUAGUCCUUGACCAAUUUCUUCAUUGUUGAUAGAAGGUACAACAAUGGAGAGGAGUAAGGAGGAGGUAAGGUGGAGUGAGUGGUGGUUUUGUGGAGGCUGGUUCACUUAAAGAGGCGAAGAGUUGGAAAGGAACAAGAGGAUAGGCUGAUUGUUGAAAGAUGAGAUGGUUGCUAAGAGUAACUUUAAGGGUUGGAAAAUCAAUCCCUUCUUCAUCGUUGAAAGGUAUUUAUAAGAGAAGUCCUCUUGUCCAUUUGUGUGACAUGGCAGGAUAAGUACUCAGUCCCGCCAAGUGUGUAAAGGAUAUUCAUGAACGUGAAUGAUAUUUUGAAUCACGCUUCAAAUACAGCUCUAACAAAUAUUUAUGAAAAAUGGGUCUCAAGCCUAUGUGGCCGGGCGUGUCGUGUCGACAGUUCACUUAUAAUAUGUUUAAUAGUAAACCAACUUUAUAACAUUUUUAUAAUAUUUCGAUAACUAUUAUUUCAUGCAAAUUAGAUAAAAGAUAAUAUAAAUUUUAUAAUAUAACAUUUAUCAACAAUGCUUUUAUAAAGUGUUGAAUAACUUUUAUGACGCAUAUAUGAAAGCGCUCAAAUACGUGGCCAUACAAGAAUAGUAUAAACAUUAUAAUACAUGCUUUAUAAGCAUAAUUUGCUAGGUCAAAAUUUGAACGAAAUAUUUGGACUUGUGUGUCUAAUAGCAAAGCAAUUUUGACCCAAUAAGAAAUAUAUAAUUAUAUUUUAAAAAAUAUAAAAUAUAUGUCCUAAAAUUAAAAUAUUUUCUUAUUAUUGUAUUAAAAUAAUUUUUAUAAAUUUGUAUAAAAAUAAUAUCUUAAAUCAUGUACGUUUGUUUGAAAAAUUUUAAGGUAAUUAGUAAUUGAUUGUAAUUACUCUAACUCUCAACCCCUAAGAAUUAUAAUUGAGGUGCUAUAAUUACUUUCAAUUUAGUGGAUCCAUCAACUAUAAUGGUUAAUCAAACAUGUUAUACCUUUAUAAUCGCAAAUAAUUACACUCAAUUUUAAUAAUUACUAGGUGACUUUUAAAACAUCACACUAACAAAUUUCUAAUGUCUUGUGGAGAACUUCUUUGCCUUUUUUUUUUUUUUUAUGAUUGUGAACAAAAUUUUGGUUUAACUACGAAGGAAGAUUUUUCAAAAUCAUAUAUACUUUGGGGUACAAGUUAAACUGAUUUUUUUUUUCAAAACAAUUGCAAAGAAAAUUCAUGAAAUUAAGUUGUCUUCAAAUAAUUAAUUCACAUUGGAAUUUUCAAAUAAGAUGUCACAUUAAUAAUAUUUCAAUCAUUAAAAUAUUGUAUAACACAUUUUGCCUUAUACAAGAAACUAUGAAAAUACUAAAACUUAAUCCAGUUUAAUCUGCUCAAGGAAAUGACUUUAACACUGAGCUAAUUCAAUUAAUCCACUUAAAUUAAUUAUAUUGUAGUAAGAUUUUAAUGUGACAUGUUUAAUUUUUUUUUAAUUCAAGUAAUUUUACUUGAUUCAACUUGACUCAAAUUUCAUUUCACUCAUUCAAUUUAAAAAAAAAUUCAAAUUAAAUUAAAAUAAUAAAAUAAGACUCGAUUCGAUCCAAUGAUCAGCCUUAACUUUUACAUAAUUGAUACUAACAACAACAUGAAAAUAGAUACUCACCUUUUCUAAUCACUAUGCAGGAGCGAAAUUUCCAUGAAAAAAAAAGUAUUGCGUAUGGAAAAGUAAGUUCCAUGACAUCGACUGAAGCAAGGACAACAACUGAAUUUAUAUAUAUAUAUAUAUAUUUUGUGCGAGUAGGGAGAAAAUACAAGAAAGAACAAACCCCUUUGACUAGUUAACCUAUGCAGUGUGCGGUUAAGUGAGGAAUAAAUAGAGCAGGGUUUUAACCAACUUUUGGUUAAUUACCACAUAAAUCUUUCAUACUUAUUGAAUUAUUUAAUAUAGCCCCUCUCAUUUUAAUUUCUAAAUUUUAUUAUGGUGUGUGACCCAUUAAACUUCUAAUUAUGUUGGUAAUAAAUAUAUUCUAUUUCAAUUAAAUUUCUAAUUAUGUUGAAUUAUUAACCCUGAUUAUCUCCCUUCACUAAGGACUUGCAGUUAUACAAGUCAAGAACAAAAAAGAUAUGUUCCCUCAUAUCACUUGAGGUGAUGAGUCUUUUCUGAGCCACUUCAUCACCUUCAUAUGUCAUAUCAUAUCUAAAACAUCCUACUUUAAGCAUCUAUCUAUAACAGGACCAAUUAGCCCGGCCUGCACAAACCAAAAAUAAACUAUUUAACCCAAUGUCUACAAUCCAGUUUUUACAAACCCAAAU